UGAGACUUGGACUUUGCUUGCUUGCCAUUUGUGCUCAUUCGCACAUGCUUGUGAGAGUCGCUCCCUACAAGCCGGCACUCCGGAGUUAGCCCACGCGACUUAUGUUCGCUCGUGCGGUAUUGAGAAGCCUACGGGGUCGAGUGGGACAGACACAUCCCAAGAGUAGGGAUGUUGGGCUACCACAGGCACUUAGGCGGCACAAGCUGGACUACCUUUGGUAGGUUCUUGAUUGGAAAUGGAAAUCGAUACGGGGUCGAGAUUGGUUAAUCACUACUAGAUAGGUUUAGUAGUUGGAUUACAUUUAUAUGCUUUUAGCAUAGUGUUGAGACAUGUAGUAUAUUUGAUAGUCUCUUGUUGCAUUAGAGCAUACUUGGUUGCCAUGAUAGAGCUUAUGCAUCAUGCAUUGAUAAAGGUUAUUGACAUUGAACUAUUACCAUUGGACAUAGUAUUUUGAUAUUGUAGAUGUACAUCACCAUGACAUCGUUAUACUUGAGUUUAGUAAGUUAGCAUUACAAUUAUGCCUUUAUAUUGCUAUCAUUAUUGUACUUACCCUUUUCCUUUGGGGCCUAGUGGUGCAUUGAGCUGAGGUCAGUAAUUGCCCACUGGGAACUAUAAAUUAUAGUUCUCAUGCCCUCUUUUUCUCGAUAUUUUUUCAGAGCCUUCCACUCAGGGUGAGGCCAGGGAUCGCGGAAAGGGUAUCGCCUCGGGCUAGCGCGCUUACCGAGGGAUCGUUCGAUAGGUGGUUUACCUCUCGUGUUUUCUUUUUGUGAGAGGUUGAGAGUUGUACCCGUAUAUGUGUAGAGAGACCACCAUUUUUGUACUUAAGACAGUUAUUGUAAUACUUAUGGUUAUCCUUGUUUGACUAGCUUUAUUUCUCUACUUUGGUGUAGAUGAUAGAACUUGCUCUGAUAUCUCUAGUUGCUAGUUAUUUCAUUUCUUAUAUUUGUUCUAUCUCUUGCUUUUACUUCCGCUUUUAUCGUAGACGCCUUAUAUGUGUAGACAUAUGGCGGGUCUGGGCACGCUACCGGGAGGGCCUCCGCCGGUCCCGGGGCGUGACACUUAUCCCUAAAAAAGAAGGGGCCUAUCGGGUGAACGACUUUCGACCGAUCAGCCUCUUAAAUGGAACACAAAAAAUUAUCUCCAAGGUCCUCUCCAACAGAUUGGCAUUGGUUAUGCCCUCUUUAUCGCCCCAAUACAAUCGACCUUCCUUAAGGAUCGUCUUAUGUUUGACUCUUUCGUCACAGCAUGUGAACUUUUUGCCUGGUGUACUAAAACGGGACAAGAGUGCACAUGUAUCAAGGUAGAUUUCGAAAAAGCCUUUGACAAUGUUAGUUGGUCUUUCUUGAAAAACAUCAUGACGUGGCUAGGAUUCAACGACAAAUGGUGGACUUGGAUUGAACAGUGUGUCCGUAACGCCAAAAUCGCUAUCUUGGUAAACGGGACACAGACUAAGUGGUUGAAAUAAAAAAAAAGGCCUUAGACAAGGAGACCCCCUCUCUCCCUUCCUCUUCUUGUUGGUGGCAGACUGCCUCUCAAGGCUGACCGAAUCAGCUAAGAGAAACAACCUCCUCUGCGGAGUCGGCAGUCUGAUAAUUGCCAGACAGUCCUCCUACAAUAUGCCGACGACACAAUCUUCUUCUGUAAGCCCAGAAAAAAUGUUAUUAGAAGCAUCCGGUUCAUGUCGAAUAUUUUCGAGUAGGUCUCUGGGCUCCGGAUUAAUAAAGAUAAGUCCGAACUUUUUUAUUUAGGACAUAACCACAGAAGGCGGCCAGUCUAGCAAACACUCUGAGGUGCAGAGUCGGAACCCUGCCAAUUUGCUACUUGGGUUUACCCCUUUCCUUUAAACAUCUAAGGAAAGAGGACUGGUCCAUUGUCAUUAACCGUAUCGAGAAAAAAAUUGAAGGAUGGAAAGCGAAACUUCUCUCCCAAGGGGAAAGACUCACACUAGUUAACUCUGUUCUCUCUAGUCUGCCGCUACACUUCUUAUCUAUCUUCAGAGCGCCAAAAUGGGUCCUCCAACCGAUUGAAGCUUUACGAAGAGCCUUCUUCUGGAAAGGCAACUCUAAAGUCAAUGGAGAGGCCUGCCUAGUGAGCUGGAAAACAGUCUGUAAAAGUAAACGGGACGGAGGUCUAGGGAUCAAGGAUCUGGAAGCUAUGAAUCUGGCACUUUUAACCAAAUGGUGGUGGCGCUUCUUCAACGAACCAUCAACGCCUUGGAACAAGCUGAUUAGAUCACUAUACUACACUAAACGAACACCUCUUCACGAAGGAAGAUCCUUCCUCCCUUACUCGCAAUGGUGGAGGAGUGUAUUGUUCUACCGGGACAUCUUCAAAUGUGGUACAAUCUACAAGAUAGGAGACGGUAGAGAUAUUAGGCUCUGGUCCGACAUAUGGUUAGGAGAAACCUCCUUACGCACUCAGUUUCCAGAAAUCUACAACUAUGUUAAAAACAAGGAUGUUUGAGUGUCUCAUUGCUGGAAUCCUAAUGGGUCGAGAUGGCGUUUCAUCUGUUGCGGAUUUGUUGCGAAUCAUACUGCAGAUAGGCACUGAAGUCUGUUGGAGCUGAAGAAUGCGUUACAGGACGUCCAACCUCUUAGCAGGCAUGAUUGCGUCCACUGGCGCUGGACGACAAAUCUGCAAUUCUCCGUCAAAUCCCUCUACCUGUUUCUCAUGGACACAGGAAUGAGAGAUUCGACGAGCAUAUCUAUCUGGAGAACGAAAAUUCCGAUUAAAAUCAAAGUUUUCAUAUGGCUUCUACUUCGGAAGAGAAUUCUCACUACGGAUAGGCUCGUCAAAUGGGGGUUGCUUACUGAGCAGCUUUGCGUUUUUUGCGCCAAUGCCAUGGAAACUUGCAAUCACCUCUUCAGUACAUGUGUGUUAUUCAGAUAUUUACUAUUAGUCUUGGAUGAACUCGACAUUUUAAUUGAGCCUUUGGAGGCGGACCAGGGACUGUGGGAAAGGUGUCUACGCUUCGAAAACGCCAAGAAGAUAAUUAAGGGACUAACCCUUCUUGCAUCUAUCUGGUGGAUAGUCUGGAUCGAAAGGAACAACAUCAUUUUUAAAGCGAUAUACACCACACCUUACCAGAUGGUUGAACGGAUCAAAUCACUAAGGCAGGAUUGGAUCGAUCUUGGCCAGCACUAGAUAGCUAAACUUCGGUUGCCCGCACUGGACUUUCGGCGGUGUGACUUCUUCUUUUCUUUCUUUUUCUCUCUUUUUUCCCUGCUGCUCUGUUUUAUCUCGCUUUUUCUUGAGGCCUCGGAUGCUUCCACCUUGUAUGCUUAAUUCAACUUUCUUAAUGAAUAAAGCGGGUAGCGUGCUACAUUUUCUCAAAAAAAGAAGAAGAAAGAUAUUAGGUUGUAAGAAAGGUGUAGACGAUAUUUUGAUAUGAUGUUAAGGGCUCAGAAGUGAUCAUGUAUUUUAUCAUGAACCACAAAAUUUGUAUAAGUAGUAUUAGGCUUAAUUUGGUAUUGAGGUUUAUCUUAGGCUUUGUUUGGGAUUGCAGAGAGAUUGCAUUACGUGCGGUAAGAAAGUAUGUUGGAAAAAUACUCUGUUUGUUUCCGUACGAAAUAUUGCGUUCCGCAUAUCGCGAUGAGUCGGUUACGAUAUAUUUUUUGCGAUCCCACCGGAGAACGCAGAAUCAUAUCCCUAUAUACUUUUUCCUCAACUCCAUUUUAUCUAAUAGCGUUAGAUAAACCUCAAUACCAAACUAAGCCUUAAUCAAACAAUUGAUAUUUAAAAAAUGUAAAUUAUAUUAUAUUUGAUAUAUUUGAACAAAUACAUAUAUUUUUAACGAACAAAUAUCUCCCACGGCAAUUCUAUAAAGAGAAUCUAAUAGGAUUGUGCUCAAAAUUUUAAAAUUUUUCCUCUCUAAUGAAUAGAUCCCCCAUCAUUCUCCUUUGUCCAUUCUAAUUUUCAGGCUUAACUAUAAGUCGUGGACUGAAAGAAUUCUCCAAAUUAUUAUGAUUUAGCCCUAAAAGGAUUCUCUUGCACUAAAUCCUUCCUCUCACUGCCAUGAAUCGACGGUCCACUUUGGGUGCUCUGCUUUAAUUGCAGUGGUUCUUUUUUUUUUCUUUUUUUUUUUAAAAAUAUGGGAGUAUUUUUAGAGAAGGAGAGCCAUUAGCUCCACAAGUAACAAAAAGUUAGGAGGUUUUCAUAGAGCACAGAGACAAACUUUGUAUUGAAAGAACUUACCCAGACCACUCUCUGUAGUUUUUUUUUUUUUUUUUUUUUUUUUUUUUUUUUUUUUGAUCCGGUUCACAUAGACAUGGGCAUAGUAACAAAUAAAAGAGGUGUUUCCAUUUCACAAAAUUUGAGGGGAGGCUAUCAAGUUGGAUCCAUGUAGGAGCAACAUUACUAAAGCGAAAGAAAGACGAAGAACCCUCAGAAUGUACAAGCCACAUGAAAAGGUCCUCUCGUGAGCCAUAGUAAGAAUAAUGCAUAGGGAUAUUAGUGAAAUUAAUAUGCUUGAGAAUAAACUUACAAAAAAUUGCAUUUGUUUCAUCAAUCUGUUCGAGGUCAUCGAUGAUCUCCUUUUUAACUAGUUUGCUUGGAACCUUAUCAGGGAUUAUCCCACUUCUCACUUUGCUUGCUAUCCUCCCAGCUACUAUAUACUGAAGCCCAUGAUUCUCAACCCUAUGUUGGCGUUUUAGCUAGUUUUAAUAUUUCAGGUAUUGGAGAAGCUUGAGCAAUGCAAGUUGGGGAGGCGAGGUUGGUGUUAGCUUGCCCAGCCCCGUCUAGUGAUGGGGCUUGAUCCUGAAGCCAUGGGAGGGAGUGCCUCUCACGAUUUUGUUGAUUCCAUUGAUUUCUUCGCCCUAUCUAUGUAUGAUCUUCGUGUUGCAAUGGUGCAAUUAGAUUCAAUUCAACCAAAUAAGCCGUCGCAUCAUUCCAGAACUUCACACAGUGCUCUAUUCCUGGAGAAACGGUCAACUGUGCUAUCAUACCUAAACUUCUACAAAAUUUUCACUCCAGCAUUAAUUUUUUUUCACAACUAACCCAAUAUUUGUAAAUUUCUAUAAACUUAUCAAAUUCACCUAUGUAGUCAUAUUUGCAUAAAAAAUUCAACGAUUUUUGCGCUUUUAUAAAAAUGAGCCACUUUUUUAAAUUUUACACAUUUGAUCCAAAUUUUUAGUAAAUUGACUAAAAUAUCUUUAUUUCUCUUUUUCUCUUUUUUUUUCGUUCGUCUUUCUCCUUUCGGCAUCUCUCCCUUCUCAGCAUUUCUUUCUCUCUUUCUCCUCCCGUUUUCUCUCCCUUCUCCUCCUACUCCAUCGUCCCCAUGUUGUUGCGGCGCUCCUCUCUCUUACUUUAACCACGCCUCUGUCGAUGCCAAUUUGGAUAUGCCACAGAUCGUGGAGAUGAGGUUGCGAUGGAAAGUGAGGCUGCGGUAGAAAGCGUGGCCAUGGACGGUGAGAACGACGAAAGUGUUGCAGGAUUUGAGGACGACGGGGAAGGAGAGCGUGUCGGGGCGAGGAAGGGACAGGAGCGGGGGUGGCGGAUACUACAAAGGGUGAUGGAAAGGGCGCGGUAACAGAAAAUAAUAUAGAGGAUGGAAGGGAAAAAAGGAAGAAAAUAAAUUUUUUUUUUCUUCUGGAAAGGCCCUCAUGUACCAUGACUACUAUAGGAAAGGCCAAAGAAGUAGAGAGGAAAGAAGAAAAAGUAAAAGUUGCACUUUUUGAGACUAAGUUGCACUGUAUAGGGCUAAAUUGCACCAUUUAUAUAUAUAUAUUUGAGACUAAGUUGUUGAAAAUAAGAUCAAAUUGUUAGUUAGAUUUUUUAGAUAAAUUUGUUUUUAUAUAGUUACGAGGGAUAAACUUUUAAGUUGUUAAUAAGUUUAGAUUUUGAUUUUUUCCAUUAUUAUCCAUAUACAUGAGUUGAGCACUAUAGAAAGGCUAAAACUAUGUAGAAGUACAAGUGCACCGCGAAUUUAUUAAUUAUUCUCCACAUUAAUAAAGAUAUAUUCUCUUCAUUUUUAUUUUAUUGUUCUAUUGAUUAGUUAGAUUUUUUAGUUAAAUUUGUUUUUAUAUAGCUACGAGGGAUAAAGUUUUAAGUUGUUAAUUAGUUUAGAUUUUGGUUUUUUUCAUUAUUAUCCAUAUACAUGAGUUGAGCACUAACAAAAGGCUAAAACUACGUAGAACAAGUCUGUAGGUUAUGAAACCCUAGUAUCUAUCUUGAUAAUAUCACACCUAGAGGGGGCGAAUAGGUGUUUAGCCCAAAUUUGCAAAUCUCAAUGUAAUAAAAAAUAAACGCGAAAAAUAAAAAUAGCACACCGAGAUUUAUGUAAGAAAACUCCAAUUUGGAGAAAAACCUACGGGACCAAUACGCGAAAUAAUAAUCCACUAAGAGAAAAGAUUACAAGGUGAUUACCGACUCCACGGAUUCGACCUCUCUUAACCUUCUAUGGAUCUCGCGCAAGCCUCCGGUGUAAGGAAGUGAAUUCUCGAAAUGCGAGAGUUGGACUUCGAUUAAAAUCGACUGAUUGUCAGUUCGGUACGCUUUGGAAAGGCCGAAGGCGUCAGAAACCCAAAAAGUGCAUUAGAGAAGGCCACCGGGAGCGAGUUGUGAAAAUUCUGCAAAGUGCAGGAUUUUUGUUCUUGGGGACCGGUCCCUGGUGGGAGAGACCGGUCCCCGUAGCUUGGAAAAUGUGGCAGAAGACUCUGCGCACAAAACUUGCUCUCGAGAACCGGUCCUUGGUGGGAGAGACCGGGCUCCGUAGGUAUGCAAAUUGAGCAAGGGGCUGUCUUGUGAGAGUGUGCUCUCGGGGACCGGUUCCUCAUUGGAGAGACCGGUCCCCGUACGCGUGGAAAAGGGAUAAGGGCCCUUUUCUGUAAAUAAGUCACUCUCGGGGUAGCCCGAAUUUGCCCAAGUUGGGCUGUGCAUUAUUGGCAAAGUUGAGGAGCUUUUAUACAUUUGUAGCAUAAGUUGGGGGUAUAGGAGGGAGUGAGCCCUCUCUCUUUCUCAUUUCUCUCCCAAACUCAACCCUAGCUCUCUUUCUCUCUCUAAACUCUCUUCCUCUCUCUCUAGAAGGUGAAGAAGAGAAGGAUUUUGGUUGAGAAGCAAGCAAGGAGAGGGGUUUUCAUCAUCUUCUUCUUCCUCUUCACCAUUGGAGCUAACUUUUGGAGGUUAGCUUGAAGCUCAACCAUGGUAGAUUUCUAGGAUUUAGGUCUUUAAGCUCUAGAAUGGUUUAAAUAGAACUCUAGCUUGCUAGAGAGAUACUUUAUGUAUGAGUUUGGAGGUUUAGAGUUUGAUUCUUGCAUGAUUGCAAGUUAGGGCUCCAAAAUGGAGUUUUUGCUUUGUAGUAGGGUUUGAUCUAAAUUGAUAAAGUGUAAACCUAAUUGCUAGGUGUUUAAAUAUAUUGGCGAAGACGGUUCGACAAUUCGUCGAGUGGGUGCAAAGUUAUUGGCAAAAAGGACCUUCUGAGCUUCGUUACCGCCUGGGAGGCCGAGACGACAUCGUAAAGUCGCCGAAUCGCAUUCCUAGAGUCGUGACAACGCCAGAAGGUGGGUGGUGUCAUCCCGAAGUAACCGGGCUCCUCUUUAUGUCUUAGUGCAUUGUAAUCUCGCUAGGACUGUCCUCUGAGUAACUCAACCCAGUGAUGACAAACUUCGGAGCGCAUCGCCCGAGGGGGAGCGACCACCCUCUAGCAAGGACUUAUAGUGAGUGUGAUCAAUCCUUAACUCUAAGGAUAUUCAGUUCAAUCUGUUCCUUAACUCUAAGGAAUUUAUGCACAAAUGAUCCUUAGCUCUAAGGUUGAAUGUCAUUGUGUCAAUCUCAAGUUCUUUGCAUUCUUUAUCUUUGACCAUAUCAUUACACUAACUCUAGUGUUCUUUACAUUCUUUACUAUCGUUCAUAUCAUACAUUAACUCUAGUAUGCUUUGAUGCCCGACAUUUAAUGUUAUCUCUAGCCAUUGUUCUUUAUGCCACAUUUUGUUGCUAACUCUAGCAAUUGUCAUUCUUUGAUGCCUCACAUUUGCUAACUCUAGCUUUUAUCAUUCUUUAUACCACAUUUUGUUCUCUUGAUGCCACACACUAGCUCUAGUGUUCUUUACGUCAAUCUUUAUGCUAACUCUAACUUUUAUUCUCACAUUUCAUUGUCCUCAUGUCAUAUGUCACUUGUUCUUUAACUUCACUAUACUCUUAUCUCUUUUUACAUGCACAUAUAGGGUUAAUACAUUCUCAUUGGUUCUCAACCAUCUCAUGAUGCACUUGAACUCACAAAAUGCAAACAUUCACAUAUUUAUAAUCUCAUUACCCUAAUCAUGCAUCCAACAAUUAUAUACAUAUGCUCAAGAAGUGACACAUUAGACAUAAAGGGACUUCCAACAAGUUUGGAGAGCACCACCCACCUCGUAGGCUUUCUUAGGUGCUAUGGUGAAUUUCUUAGAAUUUUUAGACUCCUAGUUCGUCACUUGCGGCAAAACGAAGCCAAAUUAGGCCUUUUUGCUCAUAACUUUACGUAGCUUUUCGUAACGUUAAUCCGAGCGCACCAUCACGUCGGAAAUACCCCCAAUUAGGGUUUUAGAGGGUCAAUUUCACUUUGAAACCCUCACAAGCAAAAGCUCCAAAUUUGGGUGCUCUAGCUUCACAUAUACCAAAUCUAGAAUUUUGAUCUCUUAGAGAAGCAAAAAAAAGCUUCAAAUCCUCUAAAGGUUCCAUAAAAAUCAUUCUCAGCUCAAUCCAAACCCUAGUUUGGAUUCUACCAUGAGAGAGGUUGAAGCUCACCUCUAAGCUUCACCACAUAUACCCAAUCUAUGGUUUUGAUCUCCUAAGGAAGCAAAAGAAAUCUUCAAAUACUCAAAAGAUUCUACCAAAACCAUUUCUAGGUCAUUUGGUUCUCAUUCUAGGGUUUUACCGUGAAAGGGAUCAAAGCUUACCUCAAAGCUUUCCUUUCUUUGUGCUAGAGGUGAAGGAAAGGGAGUUACUUCACUCCUUCUUCUUCUCCACCUUCUUUCUCUUUUUCUUCUUAUUCUUUUCCUUUCUUUCCCUUUCUUUCUUUUUCUCCUUCUUGUCUUCUAGAGAGAGAAAGAGAGGAGAGAGUAUGUGAGAAGGUGAGAAUGAGCGGAAUAUCCCAUAACCCCUCAUAGCAUAACCCACAUAAUGCAUUUUUGCAAAUAAACCCCUCAACUUUCACUUUAUUAAACUGCCAGAACUGGACAGUUUUCGUGCUCAGGGACCGGUCUCCCCGACAUGGGACCGGUCCCAGAGUGCUUUCCCCGCGGGCAGCCAGGGCCCUCGCGCAAUGCAACCGGUCUCUCCCAGAGGGACUGGUCUCUCGGGGACCGGUCUCUCCCCGCAGGGACCGGUUCCCGAGAGCUGACUUUCUGAGACUUAGUCGAUUUCUCAGCUUUCUCAUUUCUCACGCGUUCGGGGACCGGUCUCUCCCACCAGGGACUGGUCCUCGAGAGCACAAAAGCUGCAGUUUUCAGAUUUUUGAUUCUUUAGCUCUCGAAAACCUCCCACUUUUACUCAUUUUAACACCUUCGGACUUUCCGAAGGGUACCAACCUCGCACUUUGGUCAACUUGACUAAAGCUCGAUAUUUAUUUUCCACAUUUUCGGUAUAUUACAUUCUCCACCCCUCAAAAUAAUUUUGUUCGCGAAAUUACACAUACCUUAACUCGUCGACACAAAUAGAUGCGGAUACUCUCUUCGCAUAGUCUCCUCGAGCUCCCAAGUGGCUCUCGCACCGCAUGGUUGCUCCAUUGGACUUUUACAUAUGAAAUUCUGCAACUCCGCAGCUUUCUUUCUUCUCUAUCGAGGAUGCACACCGGGUACUCCUCAUAAGACAUAUCCUUAUGUAACUCCACGGGCUCAUACUCUAAUACAUGUGUCUAAUUGCGAAUAUACUUUCGGAGAUUUGACAUAUGAAACACGUUGUGAACUCCCGCGAGUCUCGUUGGUAGUGCGAGCUUGUAAGCUACCGCACCCACAUGCUCUAGUAUCUCAAAUGGUCCAACAUAACGGAGACUUAACUUCUCGCGGACCCCAAAACGCUUGACUCCUCGCAUUGGUGAUACUCUUAAAGAUACGCGGUCUCCAACUGCGAACUCUAAGUCCUCUUUGCUUGUCGGCAUAACUCUUUUGCCUUGACUGCGCUGUUGCUAACCGUUGACGGGCAAGGCGAACUUUCUCUUCUGCCUCCCUCACUACAUCCGGGCCAAUAGACGUUCUCUCGCCCACGUCGCUCCAAUGAAUUGGAGAACGACACUUUCGUCCAUAUAGUGCCUCAAAUGGCGCCAUCGUGAUGCUUUCUUGAUAACUGUUAUUAUACGCGAACUCCGCCAUUGGCAAGAAAUCAUGCCAUCCUCCUUUGUAAUGUAGCACACACGCUCGAAGCAAGUCCUCAAGGAUUUGUAUCGUCCGCUCCGACUGACCACCACUCUGAGGAUGGAACGCUGUACUGAAGUCGAGCCGUGUGCCUAGCGCGACUUGCAAACUCUUCCAAAAGUGAGAUGUGAACCUGGGGUCUCAAUCCGAUACAAUUGAUACCGGAACCCCAUGAAGUCUCACAACCUCAUCGAGAUAAACUUGAUCUAACUUGUCUCCCGAUCACGUAGUAUGAAUUGGCAAGAAAUGAGCCGACUUCGUCAGUCGAUCCACUAUUACCCAUAUCGCAUCAUGUCCACCUUGAGAUUGAGGCAGACCGGUAACAAAGUCCAUCGCUAUAUCUUCCCAUUUCCAAAUGGGUAUAGAUAGACUUUGUAGCUUGCACGCCGGAAACCGGCGCUCUGCUUUCACCUGUUGGCGCGUUAGACACUGCGCCACGAACUCCCCAACAUCUUUUUUCAUGCCUGGCCACCAAUAAUGUACUUUUAGAUCUUGAUACAUUUUAGUGCCGUCAGGGUGUAUGCUAUAGGGAGAUUGAUACGCUUCUUGCAUGAUUGCCCUUCGAAUGUCAUUAUCUUUAGGCACGCACCAUUGAUUUCGAAAUCGGAGUGCGCCAUCAGUUCCAAUGCCAAAAUCCUCGGCACUACUGUUCCCAACUUCACCUCGUACCUUUUGAAGAUAAGGAUCCGAAGCUUGUAGUUCCUUGAUCCUUUCCAAUAGGGUCGGUUGCACAACUAAUGCGGCAAGUGUAGUCGGCACUCCCGGCGCUACCACUUCCAACCCAAGUCUUUACAUUUCUUCGUGCAAUAGCGGUUGAGGCGUAAUUGCCAUCGCUAAGUUCUCCGCCGAUUUUCUACUUAGAACAUCGGCCACGACAUUGGCUUUUCCCGGGUGGUAUAGUAUAGUGACAUCAUAGUCCUUAAGCAACUCUAACCACCGCCGCUGUCGCAUGUUCAAUUCCUUCUGGGUGAACAAGUAUUUGAGACUCUUGUGAUCCGUGUAGAUCUCACAAUGCUCACCAUAUAAGUAAUGCCUCCAAAGCUUUAGCGCGAAGAUCACCGCGGCUAACUCGAGGUCAUGAAUCGGGUAGUUUUUCUCAUAACUCCUUAAUUGGCGCGAAGCAUAUGCAAUGACUCUCCCAUUCUGCAUUAAUACACACCCGAGACCAACAUACGAGGCAUCACUGUACACUACGAAGGUCUCCCUCGGAGUCGGCAAGGCAAGCACCGGGGUUGACGUCAACCUAUUCUUUAAUUCUUCGAAGCUCCGAUCGCAAUCGUCGCUCCAAACAUACUUUACUCCUUUAUGGGUAAGGCGCGUUAGUGGAGUAGUUAUUUUAGCGAACCUCUCCACGAACUGCCGGUAAUAGCCCGCAAGUUCGAGAAAACUACGGACCUCCGCUACACUUAUCGGGCGAGGCCAAUCCUUGAUUGCCUCCACUUUCUUCGGGUCUACCGAAACUCCGUCGCCCGAUACCACAUGACCCAAGAAUGUGACCUCCUUUAGCCAAAAGUGACACUUCUUUAACUUAGCAUAGAGCUUCUCUUGUCCAAGUAUUUGUAGCACAGCUCUCAAAUGCUCCUCAUGCUCCUCUUCACUCUUUGAGUAAACCAAUACGUCGUCUAUAAACACCACAACGCAUCGAUCCAACAACGGCCUGAAGACUCGAUUCAUCAAGUCCAUAAAUGCCGCCGGGCCGUUAAAAAGCCCAAACGGCAUUACCGUGAAUUCAUAAUGGCCAUACCGCGUACGGUACGCCGUUUUGUGCACAUCCUUCGGCCUAAUCUUUAGUUGAUGAUACCCCGACUGGAGAUCAAUCUUUGAAUACACCUUUGACCCUUGCAGUUGAUCGAACAGAUCGUCAUCCUUGGCAAUGGAUACUUGUUCUUAAUCGUUACUUUGUUCAACUCGCGAUAAUCCACGCAGAGUCGAAGUGUGCCAUCCUUUUUCUUCACAAAUAGCACCGGAGCUCCCCACGGGGACACGCUUGGCCUCACAAAGCCUUUAUCGAGCAAGUCUUGUAGUUGGGCUUUUAGCUCCACUAACUCUACCGAUGCCAUUCUAUACGGAGCCUUCGAAACUGGUUCCGCCCCGGGAAUCAAGUCAAUAACGAACUUGACCUCCCGGUCCAGUGGCAAUCCCGGUAACUCCGCCGGAAACACAUCCGGAUACUCGCACACUACCCGAAUAUUCUCUAACUCCGUGUACUCUUUCUGAGGGUCUACCAUGGUUGCCAAAUAGGUCUUACACCCUCCUUUGAUCAUCUUCUUCGCCCUCACCGACGAUAUGGUCGCCGCGAAGCGCUUGCUUUUGCAUGCUUGGUACACCAAUUCUUCUUGACUAGACUCACGAAAAAUGAUCACCUUGCUUUCACAAUCUAUGACCGCAUAGUACUUGGAAAGCCAGUUGGUUCCCAAGAUAACAUCGAAUCCCCACAUCUGAUCUAGACUAGCAGAUCUAUCGGCAUAAUCCAAUCGCCUAUUUGCACUGGACAAGCCAAACACUCCUCGUGCACUCUGAACGAAUGUUCCGGCGCAUUAACCCACCAAUAGUCAUAACUAUGCACUACUUUGAUACCAUGAGUUUUUGCAAAAGAUGCACCAAUGAACGAAUGUGAUGCACCAGUAUUGAAUAAAGCUCUAGCUCUAGUGCCUUUAAUCACAAUUAUACCUGCCACGACAUUGUCAGGUGCUGCAGGCUGCUCCUCUACUCGAGCGGCAAAGACUCGGCCGCUAGGCGCUCUCGAUCCCUCUGGCUGACGCGGUGAUGACGCGCGCCCAACCGACAUUGCUGGUGGCAACCCCGCAAGCUGUCUCGGGGUAGUCGGUGCUGACGCCACCGUCGGCGCAGACGACGUCCAGCUCGGGCACUCCCGGAUAAGAUGUCCUGGUUGGCCACACUUGAAACACUUGCCAUCGCGCGACGGGCAAGUCGACACUCGGUGCUCUCCGCCACUAAUGACGCACCGAGAUGGUCUCCAGUUCCUUGACUGCUGUCGGGGAUACCGAGGGGGUUUCUUAGCAUUUGGCCGGCCCGCGGCACCGCCCGCCGUUUGUUUCUUGCCUUUAUCCUUGCUUUCGGCCGUAGCCUCCCGUUCCUCUCGUACAUGGGUGCUACCGUGCUCCGCUCAUAAUGCUCUAUCAAAGACCUCCACAAAGGUCGUCAACUUCAAAAUCUGCACCUUCUCGUAUAUCCUCGGCUGGAGUCCUCGUAAGAACCAAUCAGCCCGAUCCCAAUCAUCUCGAACAAUAUCGGGAAUGCAGUCGAUAAUGUGGGAGAAUUCCUGCUCAUAUUCAUCCACCGAUCGAUCACCUUGCCUCAGCUUGCGAAACUUCUCUUGUAGUCUCCGCUUUACUGUAUCGGGGAAGUAGUUCGCGAACACCACCCUUUUGAACUCCUCCCAAAGCAUAAGCGGAAGAUCGGUAGGUCGAUCCCGCUUGACUCACUUCCACCACACCAUCGCCGCCUUCUUGAGACAAUGGGUGGCGAGGUACACUUUAUCCUUCUCCGAGGUAUUUAGAUCCUCGAAGAGCAUUUCCAUCGAGUCGAUCCACGACUCCACGCCGCCGCCUCCACCAAACAGCCUUCGAAGGUAGGUGGGUCGAACUUCUUAAACUGUAUGAGAGCCGCCAAUGUGCGCUCCCGCUGAGCCUCUACCGCCGCACUAUCGGGAUUUGAGGUUCCCGAUCCGACCGGCACUACCGUAACUGGCACCGCAGCGACUGGCUCAGCCGCCGCCGCCACUCCCUCGGCCGCACUCAGCACGACCAUAGGGGGCACAGGAGGCUCGGCGCCCACUUGAGCCUCCGCCUGUUGACGCUCCAAAGAUUCCUGGAGCCGUUGAAUCUGCUCCCCCUUGGCGUUGAAUAGACUCCGCUUGUUGCCGCACUACGCCGAUAAGCGCGGCCAUCUGCUCCCUAAGCUCUCCGUCGCUACUCGCUCCAGAUCGCUCGGGUGCCGCAUUCGACUCCUCAGGCAUCGACCUUGUCUGCGGUCGACCACGAGUUGCCAUUGCUUCCUGAAAAGAAGCAACUCACAUUAGCUACAUGACCAACAUUACUCAUCCAUACCCAAUUCGGCGAAAGCAACUUAUGUAUUCGUUCUCCCCAAGCAUUAUGUCGUCGGCCGCCCGACACAAAACAAGGAGUAGGGAACGAACAUCGAUUCAAACUUAGCCUCUAAUCACAUUAGAGACAUCCCAACUUGACCCAAUCACAUGCUUUCGCUAACUUUAAUUCCACGUCACUCACGUUUCCUAGAUACUUAAGGUCUUCCAAUCCUAAGGGUCUCUAGGUCCAUUCCUAUUCUUUCACUUUGGCUCUAAUACCACAAUAUUUGUCACGCCCCGGGACCGAUACCAAUUUGGGCCGGCCCGGGCAUGUCGAACAGACGCCGAACGGACAGAGUUUUCCCUGUCCGCCCAAGGCUCAUCACCUGUACAUUUUCAAGUAACGAAAAGCACUAGCGGAAAUAUAUACAAACGGCUUACACGAGGGUAAGCAAUAGCCAUGAGUGAAAGAAAGGAAACUAAACAUCUACACAAGUACUAUGAUUCUCUUUUGAUCACAUACAUUGCAUUUAACUUGUACAUUCAUAGUUCUUUACAUACUAUUCAUCAUUUCUUUUUACAUCACUUUUACUCAAAAUGAAACAUUACAUUCUCCUUGAAAUAAAUAUCACAUUCUUUUUUCUUUACAUCUCACUUCAUCACAUACAAAAGAUGAAGUAGGGGAAUGCUACUACAAAAUGUAAAACUCGACUUGGUAGUCACUGUCUAUGGCGCGAUACCUUUACCGCGGUCGCUCGCCGGCUCGCUCGGUCCCGGCUCUGUGGAAAUAGUGGGGUAAGAACUACAACGAAGUUCCCAAUAGGUUUGGCUCCAAUCUCACCGACUUUCCCACUAUGACUAACUCAGGCAUAAUAGAAAGAAUAAGCAAAUAAGUAGCCAACUAUACGAAUGCAACUAAUAUGCCUGAACAAUGCGAUCAAUAAAGAUGCUCAAUAUAACUCAUGAAGAAUGCAUGGUCUUUGUUCUUUGUUUUUUAUUCUUUGUUCUUGUUCUUUCAUUCAAUCUCAAGGCUAACUCGGUGGUAUCGCCUCAUUAACUCAUCAACUCAAAAUCCAUGAUCGCGGUCUCUCAGCUUCCUCCUGCUAGGACUGUCCUCUGAGUAACUCAACCCAGUGAUGGCAAACUCCGGAGCGCAUUGCCCGAGGGGGAGCGACCACCCUCGAGCAAGAACUUAUAGCGAGUAUGAUCAAUCCUUAACUCUAAGGAUAUUCAGUUCAAUCUGUUCCUUAACUCUAAGAAAUUUAUGCACAAAUGACCCUUAGCUCUAAGGUUGAAUGUCAUUGUGUCAAUCUCAAGUUCUUUGCAUUCUCUAUCUUCUACCAUGUCAUUACACUAACUCUAGUGUUCUUUACAUUCUUUACUAUCGUUCAUAUCAUACAUUAACUCAAGUAUUCUUUGAUGCCCCACAUUUAAUGCUAUCUCUAGCCAUUGUUCUUUAUGCCACAUUUUGUUGCUAACUCUAGCAAUUGUCAUUCUUUGAUGCCUCACAUUUGCUAACUCUAGCUUUUAUCAUUCUUUAUACCACAUUUUGUUCUCUUGAUGCCACACACUAGCUCUAGUGUUCUUUACGUCAAUCUUUAUGCUAACUCUAACUUUCAUUCUCACAUUUCAUUGUCCUUAUGUCAUAUGUCACUUGUUCUUUAACUUCAUUAUACUCUUAUCUCUUUUUACAUGCACAUAUAGGGUUAAUAAAUUCUCAUUGGUUCUCAACCAUCUCAUGAUGCACUUGAACUUACAAAAUGUAAACAUUCACAUAUUUGUAAUCUCAUUACCCUAACCAUGCAUGCAACAAUUAUAUACAUAUGCUCAAGAAGUGACACAUUAGAUAUAAAGAAAAUUCCAACAAGUUUGGAGAGCACCACCCACCUCGUAGGCUUUCUUAGGUGCUACGGUGAAUUUCUCAAAAUUUUUAGACUCUUAGUUCGUCACCUGCGGCAAAAUGAAGCCAAAUUAGGCCUUUUUGCUCAUAACUUUACAUAGACUUUUCGUAACGUCAAUCUGAGCACACCAUCGCGUCGGAAAUACCCCCAAUUAGGUUUCUAGAGGGUCAAUUUUACUUUGAAACCCUCACAAGAAAAAGUCCCAAAUUUGGGUGCCAUAGCUUCACAUAUACCAAAUCUAGCGCUUUGAUCUCUUAGAAAAGUAAAAGAAAGCUUCAAAUCCUCUAAAGGUUUUAUAAAAACUAUUCUUAGCUCAAUCCAAACUCUAGUUUGGAUUCUACCAUGAGAGAGGUUGAAGCUCACCUCUAAGCUUCACCACAUAUACCCAAUCUAUGGUUUUGAUCUCUUAAGGAAGUAAAAGAAAGCUUCAAAUACUCAAAAGGUUCUACCAAAACCAUUUCUAGGUCAUUUGGUUCUCAUUCUAGGGUUUUACCAUGAAAGGGAUCAAAACUUACCUCAAAGCUUUCCUUUCUUUGUACUAGAGGUGAAGGAAAGGGAGUAACUUCACUCCUUCUUCUUCUUCUCCACCUUCUUUCUCUUUUUCUUCUUCUUCUUUUCCUUUCUUUUCCUUUCUUUCCCUUUCUUUCUUCUUCUCCUUCUUGUCUUCUAGCGAGAGAAAGAGAGGAGAGAGUAUGUGAGAGGGAGAGAAUGAGAGGAAUAUCCCAUAACCCCUCAUAACAUAACCCACAUAAUGCAUUUUUGCAAAUAAACCCCUCAACUUUCACUUUAUUAAACUGCCAGAACUGGGCAGUUUUCGUGCUCGGGGACCGGUCUCCCCGACAUGGCACCGGUCCCAGAGAGCUCUCCCCGCCGGCAGCCACGGCCCCCGCGCAAUGCAACCGGUCUCUCCCAGAGGGACCGGUCUCUCGGGGACUUGUCUCUCCUCGCAGGGACCGGUUCCCGAGAGCUGAUUUUCUGGGACUUAGCCGAUUUCUUAGCUUUCUCAUUUCUCACGCAUUCAGGGACCGGUCUCUCCCACCAGGGACCGGUCCCCGAGAGCACAAAAGCUGCAGUUUGCAGAUUUUUGAUUAUUUAGCUCUCGAAAACCUCCCACAAUGCACUUUUACUUAUUUUAACACCUUCGGACUUUCCGAAGGGUACCAAUCUCGCACUUUGGUCAACUUGACUAAAGCUCGAUAUUCAUUUUUCAAAUUUUCGGUAUAUUACAUAAACACUUGCAUAUGGAUAUUAGGAUAGGUGUCAUGCCCUCGCCCCGAGGCCACUACCAAUUUGGUCCGGUUCGGGCGCGGCGGACGGACGCCGAACGGACAGCACCUUGCCUGUCCGCCCAAGGCCAAACAACCUGAUCAAGUACAAUUAAGCGCCCAGGAAUUGCUUAAAUAACAUACAUGAUCAAUACGAUGCACACAAGUGUAAUACAGCUAAGAGCAAGAACCAUAAGUGAUAUACAAGUGUAUAAAGAGAGAUAGUCUAACUAUUACAACCAUUCCAUAGUUACAUCAUUUGAUUACAUUACAUUUUUAUCUUCCAAAAUGUAAAUACAUAUUUUUCUCCAAAAUACAUCAUAGCUCUCCAAUGCCUAUCCAAAAUAUACAUCUUCUAGUACACGAAGGUACUCUAUAUGCAAAAAGGAAAGCUACUAACUACUCACUUAGGGCGCUAUGCUCUUGCCGCGAUCCUCGCUCGGCUCGCCCCUGUAUGUACCUGUACUCCAAAACCACAUGAGGUGAGAACUAUAUAAAUAUAGUUCCCAGUGGGUUCGGCCGCCGACGCCGCCGGUUUUCCCACUAGGUCUAAGCUGGCACAAAUAGAGAGAUAGAUAGAUAUAUAGAAAAAUGAACUGCAACUACUCUAUCAUGCCAUCAAUGAUAAUAAUGCAUGCAACAACUACUAUCAUGCUAGUAUUAUGUCAUGAGUAUAAAAAGGUACAUAGCAAUGUAAACUACAACAUACACUAUGUCUACUCAAGAUAAUGUUGCAAAUCUACUAUGCAUUUCAUGUUUAUUACCCAAUCUACUUGGCUAACUCGUAGGUUAUGCCCACGACUCACUCUCAAUCUCAUAGGUGAGGAGAAGCUGCACUCGCACACCGAGAUCGUCUGCGGGACAACUAUGUCUGCCCCUAGUGAAGUACUCCGGAGACUCGUGCCUUGGUGGAGCGACCACCGACAAGCAAAACAGACUAGUGAGAAUGAUCCAAUCAUCACAAGAAGAUACCCUAUCUACAAGGGUCAAUGUGCCUCUGCUGUACAAUAUACAAUGCAUCCUAGAUGCUGGGACCACUACUAUCCCAAGAACCAUGUCAUGUUUACUACACUAGACUCGAUGCCACUCGUUCAGUCGUUGUAGUAAUAUCUUCUAACUAGUCGAUAUGCCACUCGUUCAAGUUUAGUGUUUCUACUACACUAGUCAAUGCCCCUCUACUAGGCUAUGUCCAAGUUCAUCACUUUUGCCAUUAUAGGAUUCUUUGUCUCAAGACCCAAUCCUCAUGCCUCCAUAGUCCAAGUGUUAAGCCCAUACCGCUACACUACUAAGUAACCAUGCAAGGAAUGGAAACAUACUUCUACUAAUCCUAUAAUGCACAAUCAACAUAUGAUGAAUAAAAUUAACUUAGAUAUAAAAGGAAACCCGGAUCCUUCGGGAUGACACCCCCCACCUCUUGAGGGUAUGGAGGCUCUAGAAAUGCCCUCCAACGGGCGUUACGACGACUUCUCGGCCUCUUAGGUCGAAAUGAAGCUUAGUUGGCCUUGUUUCGCCAAUAUCUUUUCACCCGUUUGACGAAUGAAAAAUCCGACUUCGCCCCCACGUUUAGGCAUCUAGCAAUUAGAUUUACAAGGCCUCAAAUGAGAUCAAUCUCAUGAUUUACCAAAAAAACUAUUUUGGAGCCCUAGGGUACACAUCUUGCUAUUUGCCAUUUGGAACCCUAGCUCUAGCUUUAAUACACAAACAAUGGUGCUAGAGGUCCAUUUCACCCAUUUUCCAAAGCUCAAAACCCAAAAACCCUAAGUUCCAUAAGCUAGGGUUCAAGAGCUUAUCUCUUGAACUACUCCAAUGGUGAGGAGAGGAAGAGGAAGAUGCUCCAAGCCUCCUUGAGCUUGAUCUUCUCCUCCUUCUUCUUCUCUUUUCUUCUUCUCCUUCUCUUUUCCUUCUAGAGAGAGAGAGGGAGCAAGAGAGUGUGAGAGAGGGAGAGAGAAAUGAGAGGCUGAGGGAGAGAGAGGGCCCAUAUGCCUCUCUAAUGUAACAAUAUCCAGAUUAGCCCCUCAACUUUUGUCUCCAUGCACUGCCCUCACUGGGCAUUCUGCGCCCAGAGGGACCGGUCUCCCCGACCUAGGACCGGUCCCCGAGAGCCUCAGCCUGGGUCACGCGUUCGGGAACCGGUCCUUCCCUGAGAGACCGGUUCCCGGGAGACCGGUUCCCUCUUGAGAGACCGGUUCUCGAGAGCUGGGAUUUCGGGACUUAGCCAAUCUUGGCUUUUCUCGCUCGGUCACGUUCGGGGACCGGUCUCUCCCUGCCAGGGAUCGGUUGCCUCAAGAAUCCCCGCAACCACCAGCCGAUGGGAACGGUCCCCGAGAGCAAUUUUGCUCCUGUACAGGUUUUGCACUAUUCGCUCUCGUGGACUCAUUUUUAAUGCACUUUUGGUGACUUUGACAUCUUUGGCUUUUCCAAAACUCACCAACCCGACCCUUGGUCGAUUCUGGAUGAAGUCUAACUCUCGUAUUUCGAGAAUUUACUUCCUUACAAUAGGUGGAUUCCCGACUGAAUAAUAGCCCUAGUGGAUAAGGUAUCCUCGAGUUGAGAGGAUUGGAUCAUACUCACUGUCUGUUCAGAGCUUGUGGUGGUCGCUCCACACAAGCGUGCGCUUUGAAGUUUGUCACACGAGGGAUAGCCUUAUAGGGUCCAACUGUAACAUACCACAUCCCUCGUAAGUCGUGCCGAGUUCCGUCGAAACGAGCAGAACACGGAAUUGAACGAGUUACAGUGGACCCUAAGUGCAUUGGAGUUCAUAAAUGGAGCAAAAAGGGACCCGGAGAGCAAAUCUGGAAAUCUGGCUAAGUCCCAGAUUUUGAGCUCUCGGGGACCGGUCCCUGAAGGAGAGACCGGUCCCCGUACGCGUAGCCUGCCAGGAAAUCCUGAGGCAUCCGGUCCCUGGUGGUGAGACCGGUCCCUGACGGGCAGACCGGUCCCUCGCUGCGCAACAGCCGAAAAACUCGAAAAUUUGGCUAAGUCCUGGAAAACCCCCGUUCGGGAACCGGUCCCUGGUCGGGGAGACCGGUCCCCGAAGGCGAAAAUUGCCCAGUCUGGGCAGAUUGAUGGGAAACAAGUGGAGGGGCUUAUGUGCAAUUGUUACAACACUAUAUGUGGCCCAUCCCCUCUCUCCCACAGCCAUUUCUCUCCUCCUCUCUCAUUUUCUCUCUUUCUCUCUCUAGAACUCCUCUAGAACUUGGAGAAGAAGAAGAAGAGUUUGAGGAAGAAGGUGGAUUUUGGUGCUUUGGAGAUUCUAGGAGCUCUCCAACAAGAAGGAUCUUGGUGGAGCUUGGACUAGAGGUGAGUUUUGUGAGGUUUCCCUCUAGGGUUUGGGUUUUAACUUAAGGAAUUGGAGCUUUGUGCUCCUUAGAGGUAUUAGAAGCUCUUUUGAGCCAUGGAUACCAUGGAACCCAUGAGAGCUGAAGGUGCUCUCAUGGUGAAUCCUUGGAGAUGAUGUUUGGAGCCCUAGGGUUGGUACCAAAGGUCUAGAAACCUUACUAGGAUGCUUCUUAGAUGAUCCUAAGCUAUCCUUUGCUUAGGGUUGGGAUCGAUUCAUGGGGAAACCCUAAAUGGCAACAUUAGGGCUUGAAUUUGGGGUUUUUGCCCUAGGAUUUUUCGGGGACAAAUUGACCCUGUAGAAACCCAAUUGGGGGUGCCCAAAACACGUCGGACAACUUCGUUUAAUAUUUCGAAAAUGUUAGAGUAUAGUUCAUGUACAAAAAGGCCUAAUAUGGCACUAUUUGAUUAUAGGGCGCGGAAUCGGCUUUCGUAAAGUGCGGGGGCCUUAAUAUUCUACACCCACACGACUCACAGAGGUGGGGGGUGCACGCCGGAAUCGUUGGAUUCCCCUCUAUGUCUAUUUCUCUAUUUUUGAGCAUAUAUAUAUAUAUAUAUACCCAUUCAUGCAUAGUAGGGUAGCUACAUGUGGAACUUGGUUUGAUUUCAUUUUUAUGCUUCUAAAGUAGUUGAACGUAGAAGAAUGAUAGAACCAAAACGGACAUGUGUGAUUGGACCCUCGAGAUGUGUGAACAUAAGUAUGGACUUGGACAUUAGAAAACAAGGGUGUCAUUGACAUAGAAACAAGAAUUGCAUUGAGAGAUGAACCAUUGAAUAUAGUUUAACCCACGUUGACAUCGUCGAAGGUAAAGCCUUGAAAGUGACAAGAAUAAAUAGAUAGAGACCUAUCAUAAUAUUGGCAUUGUGACUAAUGGCUAUGAGUCCUCAAGUUGAGGAUUAGAUCGAUACUCACCUUUCGUCUUGGCUUGAGGGAGGUCGCUCCCCCUCGAGCGGUGCGCUCCGGAGUUGGUCACCACUGGGCGUGGUAAAGUCCCACCAGUUGACGGUCCCCAGGGAGGUUCGAGUCCCCCGUUAUUAAGGGAUUAUGGGUUGUGAGUUAUUGGGGUUAACAGAGUUAACCGGUAAGAUUGGGUAAGAGCUAGAGUUUGAUUAUGAUUGGAGCAUGCAUGCAUUUCCAUUUUCGCAUUGAAAUUGUAUAUCUACUGACUUUUUCUUGCAGGCAUAGUAUUAGUUGCAUUAGUAAUGGUUACUUUUCUUCCUUUGAAAUACUUAUGCCUGGAUAGACCUAGUGGGUAAGUCGGCGAGGUCGGAUGCCGAGCCCACUGGGAACUUCGUUGUAGUUCUCACACCACUAACCCUACAGGUCCUAGCACGAGCGGGGCGGCGGAGGACCGAGGCAAGGGUUUGGCGCCGUAGGUAGCGGCCACCGGGGACUUUAUGCAUUUUGUAGUCAUUCCCUUUUGUUAUACAUGUAUCAACUUUAUUUUGUUGAUUUAGGUAUGUAAAGUGAAAACAAUCAUGUAUUUGGUGGAUGACUAAAUGUAAAAAGAUAUGAUGGUUGAAUGGAAUGUAAUAGUUUUACAUUAGCUUUGUUUACUUGAAUUUGGUUUAAAUGAAAUCAAAUAUCAUGUGUAAUCUAUAUUUAGCUUAGAGCUUUCGCUUCCGUUGUUGCUUGCCCUCGUGCAAGCCUUGUAUUAUAUUUGCAAUUCUCUUGUUAAUUGCCUAAUUAUGUGUAUUGUUAGAGCCUUGGGCGGACAGGGGAGGCUCUGUCCGUUCGGCGUCUGUUGACGUGACCCGAACCCGACCAAAUUGGCGGGGAUUGGGGCGUGACACCAACAGACGGGUUUGCUGAGCGAGUUGAGUCUCCUUACCCAUAAGAUGCAUGUGAGUCGUGGGCGAACCUCAGGGUUGGCCAAGGAUUGGUUAAGCCAAAAGAAUUGAUGAACAAGUAAAUAGCAUUACUUCUUGGACAUAGUGGCAUGUUAGUUGAUUACCUAUCACAUUGUGCAUGCAUACAUUGUAUAUGAUUUCGGCAUAAUAGCAUAGCUUUCUUACUAUAUCGUUACUGUUUUUACAUAUCUAUCUAUCUAUCUGCUUGUGCCUACUUGGACCUAGUAGGGAGAUCGGGGGAGUCGGCGGCCGAACCCACUGGGAACUAUGGACUAUUGUGACGCACUAGACCUUGCAAAUUGUGGGGUUUGAGUGAUUGGUUGUGUUCUGAGCUUUUCCAGAUUUUCUGGUGGGUCGUUGAAAGUGUUCCGACCUAUGGUUCGAGUCCCGAGAAUUGUGGUUUAAACCUGUGUACCAAAAUCUAAAAAGUUAGAUUUUUGGUCAGCCUUCGGGUAGCCUUCGGCAGGCUGUGUACCGGUACGGGCUUGGUGGCUGUACCGGUAUGGGGUUGAUGGCUGUACCGGUACAGGCCCGCAUACCGGUACACAGACGGCUUUUCGGCCAAACCCGAGGCUCGGGUUUGCAUUUUCGUGGGUGGUGUACCGGUACACAAUUUCGUGUACCGGUACACAGUGCAGAUUGGGACUGUUUCGUGGAGGGGUGUUUUUGCAAUUGUUGCAACACAUAUAUAUUACACCCCAGCCCCUUUAGAGGGUUUUCUUGUGCCCUAACCAGAGGAGAUAAGGUGAGACUCUCCCCCUUUGAUCUCUUCUCCAUUUUUGAUGGAUUUUGGUUGGUUUUGAUCUCUCCUCUCUUCUCCACCUUGUUUUUUGUUGGGUUUCCUCUAUUGUUGAAGGCUUGGAGCUUGGAGAGGAGCUUGUUUGAGAGGAGAUUUUCAACUCCACUUGGCUUGGAGCUUGGUUUGGGACAUCUUGUGAGGUGAGUAUUCAUGAUCUUUCUUUUAGAGCAUGUUUUGGUAGUUUUCCUCUUUGGAAACCCUAGAUUUUGGAUUCUAGGGCUAGGAUUGGGAUUUUUUGAUUUGAGGGCUUUGGAGCCAAAUUGAUGGGUUUAGAACCUUUGUUUAAGUUUGAUUGGAAGGACUCUAGCUCCCAUUUAGAGAUUGAGAGAGCUUCCUUCGCAAUCGGUGAGUUUUCUUCAACCCUAGCCCGAAUUGGUUAAUGAUUGUGCAAUCCGUUGUUCGUUCGUUUGGGUAACACUUGUUCCUACAUCCUUAGGGUACUAGGAGGCUAGUGGACACCUUCGUUCGGCGAAACGAAGAGUUCGAAAAAUCGGUGGGUUUGGCUUCAUGAUUUGGGGGCAAAAUGGCCCCUAUGAGUAAAAUACUUGUCUUUUUGUGAAAGUAAAUGCAUAUUCAUGCUAGAUAGAAUUUGUAUGAAUUUUGGAACGCUUAAAACCCAUGCAUUAUGUGUCAUGAGAACUUCGCUCUAUGUAGUAGAGCCUUAUUUGUAGUAUGCAUGCAUGUGUUCCGGAUUCUUUAUUGCAACUUGAAAAUAUGUCUCUUAUGUGGGAAAAUGACUAGAAUCAUGCAAUCUUAAGCAUAAUUGUCAUGCUAUGACUUAGUGAGCAAAAGUGUCAUAAAGGGGCACUUGAACUAGAAAACGGUUGAACUGCAACUUAGAGACAUGAUGAUAGGCCAUUGUACAUCUGCUAUAUUCCAUGUUAGAGACAUGAUGACAUAGAGAUAGGCCAUGAUGACAUUUGACAUAUUCCAUGUUUUAGACAUGAGGACUUGGUACUUGAGACAGAUCAUUGCUUGCUUGCCAUUGUGCUCAUUCGCACAUGCUUGUGAGGGUCGCUCCCUACAAGCCGGCACUCCGGAGAUAGCCAUCGCGACAUAUGCUCACCCGUGCGGGAUUGGGCGCCGAAGUGGAUUGCCGUGGGGGAGGCUCAUCCCUAGAGUGGGGAUGUUCACUACCACGGGGCCAUUAGGCACGGCGGAGGCCAGACAGCCUUCGGGUGGGUCUUAUAUGAUUGGGACUUAGUGACAGAACAUACUACGUGAACUUUAAAACUAUUAAAGUGGACUUGGAUUAGAAUAGUAAACAAUGACAUCUUUACUAUUUUUGCAUUGAGGACAUCGGGUUGGGUGCAUUUCUGUGAUUAUGCAUGUCAUACAUAUCCAUGUACAUCCAUGAUAUAGUUGCCUUAUUACUUAUGCAAAUCAUACUAAGUAGAGACUUUAUGUUAUAGUAAGUUACAUUUUACUUACCUUUCGCUUUACUACACUGUUAGUCACUGACCUCUUUUUAUAGCUUUUGGGCCUUGUGACGCAGUUCACUGAAGUCAGUAAUUGCCCACUGGGAACUAUUUUUAAUAGUUCUCACGCCCCUAUUUUCGUGAUUUCUUUCAGAGCCUUCUGCACCGGCGGAGGCACGGGAUCGCGGCAAGGGAAUCGCAUAGCUAGCUAGCGAGAAGUGGUUCUUUGCCUAGGUGGUUUACUCUUUCUUUUUGUAAAUGAGAGAGAGUGAGAGAUUUUGUAUCCAUGUAUAGAGACCACCUAUGUAUCUACCUUUAGCACUUGUAUUGAGAUUUCCAUUGUAUUACUUUAUGCCUUUAUUAGUGGAUUCCAGCUUUGUGUUCUUUUCUCUAUUGUAGAACUUAGUAUUAUAUUAUGCUCUGAUACUCCUAGAUGUCCUUUAUUAUUGCUUCAAUUAUCGUUGUUUUAGACGCCUUAUAUGUUUUAGACGUAUGGCGGGUCUGGACACGUGCCGUGCGGGCUUCUGCUGGUGUCACGCCCGGGUACCAGCGGAAGCAUAUCCGGUACGUGAACAGACCCGCCAUACACCUGCAGUAUAUAAGGCGUCUACAAACAAGCAAGUCGAUAGGAAGAAGAUCAUAGAAAAUUCUAACCUGAUAUCAGAGCAAAGUACAAGUCAACAAUACAAUCAACAAUAGAGUAAAGGAGUAUAGUCCAAAAAUCUCAACCACAAGAUGAGUAUCACAACUAAAGUGACUGUCCAAAAGUACAUAUACAUCACGGGGUAUACAAAAGAAUAGGUACAACGGUGGUCUAUCUAUACAUAGGGACAUCACCCUCGGCCGUAGCCCGAGUAGCAAGGUGAUCGACUAGCACGCUCCUAGUAGUCCCUAGCUAGGCGCGACUCCCUUGCCACGAUCCCUAGCCUCUCCUGUAAAUGGCUCUGUAAAAAACAACCACCAAAAGGGCGUGAGAACUAUUAACAAUAGUUCCCAGUGGGUAAGCCGCCAGCCUCGGCGAAUUACACCACUAGGCUCAAGAUGUACUAAAUGAAAGCAAAAACAAUAAUUUGCAUGAUGUAUAAGCAUGAUGCUAAUAAGUAAUAAGCAUGUAAUCAACAUGUAAUAGCUUUCUACAGUAAUGAACCAUUUGCAUAAAAGAGAUAUAGCAACUUCUGUAAUCAUGAACAUAGACAUGAGUAUAAGCACGAACAUAAAAGUGACUACUGUACACUUUAAGUAAUAAACAUUCAUUACUGUCCUUUUUCAUUUAGUACUUUCCUUUCAUUCACAGGGACCUACCCAAGGUAGUCCAGCUUGCGCCGCGCCUAAUGGCCCCGUGGUAGUAUACACUCCCCACGGCAAUCCACUUCGGCACCCAAUCCCGCACGGGCGAGCAACUGUCGCGUAGGCCAACUCCGGAGUGCCGGCUUGUAGGGAGCUACCCUCACAAGCGUGUGCGAAUGAGCACGAUGGCAAGCAAGCAAAUUCCACUGUCCACAUGUCUCAAUUCUCAUGUUUUCAUUUGCAAUGUUCUCGCUCUCGAUCCUUUGAUCGACAUUUCAGUAUAACAAAUAUUAACAACAACUAGAAUCCACUAGUUUAGUAAGCAUGCAGGAGUAAUGCUAAUUUACAUAUGGCAUUAGAAUCUUUCACUAUCAUGGCACUAUCAACAUAGGCACAAGCAUGUCAUAGUUCUCUACUUCAGAGUCAAGAGAAUGUCAUUGUUCUCUACUUGUAAUCAAGCGAGUAAAAAGAGAAUGUCAUUGUUCUCUACGUUUCAUGAGCAUAAUAACGUGUCUCAUUAUUAUUCAACUAAACCAAACAGGAAUAUGAAUACAUUUAGGCGUGAGGAUUCUCUACUUCAUAGAGAUUCUAUGUCAAUAUAGUAAAUGUUAUGAUGACGAAUUCUCAAGCCCUUUAGCUAUCACAUAAGCACACAACUAACACAUUUCUAUAAUACAUAUAGAACAUAGAGGAGCUUCACUUGCUCUGGUUAGGUCCGACCCACCUAGUACUAGGCUCCAAAACAGUCCAAGGAGUUCCAAGGAUCAGCUCCACUAGGUCGCAAUCCUGCUGAACACGAAGCAUACAUAUCGUAUCAAAAUUACGAUCGAAAAGGCCAAUUUCGGCGCAAUUACACUUUGUACAUUGGAAUAGCUUAAAUCCCUGUUUUGGCUUAGUUCAAUACCUCACGUUAAGCUUCCAGAAGGCCCUCCAAGGCCAAACGAAGGCGGUCCAAGGGUCAAACACCCUCUUGCUGCGAACAAUUCCGAAACGACAUCAAACUCAUCAAUAAUAGCAAUUAUGGUCGGAAUCUUGCAAUUUCGGCUUCCUAACUGCAAUUCUUACUUACCUUAGGGUAGAACAACUUCCAAACCAGCUUCAACGAGUACACGUUCAGCUCAACGAGGCUCGAAGACCUGCUGCGAAGUCAACGUACAAAACUGCAUCAAUUUGAUCGCAUAAACCGUGUAUAGUCCGAAAUAGCUUCAUAAAUGGCUAAUUAUCCUAAUUAAGCUUUAAAGUAGCUUAACCCUGGUCAAAGAAGGUUAAUUCACAGCUAAUUAACCCAUAUAUACAUGCUGAAAUCUCAGGUUAAAACAGUUGGAAGCAAAAACAUGAAAUCAAUACACAAAUCGACCAAUAAAGCGCCGAUAACGGAAAAAUCAAGUCGUUUACCUUCUCAAGCUUCCAACCAGCACCUCACUGGUCCAGGGCUGCGAAAAUCCCUCCAAAACGCUCUCUUGCACGUGCACAAAGGUGCUGCGACGCUCGCAACCAGCGAAGAACGCGCGCGGCGACGAAAACGAGCGAAAUCGGCGAAUUCGAUGUAGAGAGAGAAAAACCCUAGAGAGAGAGAGUGAGGAAGGUGGGAGAACCUUUCUCUGAGCCCAGCACCCUCCACUGAACAUCCCUGGUCGAGCUGGGGUCAAGUGGAUAGGUAUCAAGUGUGAAAUGACCGAAAUAGCCCUGCUGCCACGAAUUGCCACUGUGUACCGGUACACCAUAGCGGCUGUACCGGUACAGCAAGCAGAAAAGGCUGAUUUUCGCCAGUUCAAUGCACUUUCUCACUUUUCGCAUUCCAAUCAUCCUCUAACUUAUCCAAAAACUUGUUCUAACCUUUUAGAACAUGUAGGAGUGAUCCACACACCAUUCCACAUACUCGAACUCCGCAAUUUGCAAAAGUUCAGUGUAUUACAGCUGGGUCCCGGGACAUGACAGAUUAAUUUGGUAUCAGAGCCUAGGGUUGAGUCUUAGGGGACCUAGCAAACCUUAGGCCGGUUGGACUGUAGGAAAUAGGCUCGUGAGAGACGAGGUCUAUUCGAUUUGUAAGCGGGAGUAUCUUGAUUGGGUAUCUUUAAUAACUCUAGGAAGUGGAGUUAAAUUGAAGUGUAUAGCUUCUAACUUCGCGGAGGGUUACGUUGGCGGCCGACAACAUAACAUCGGGAGUUAGUGGUGAAAAACACUUCCUUACUUUCGCAUGAUUUGGGUUUUACUUUGAGCGGGGAUGCGUUGGCGUGGAUUUUUACUAACUUACGCUUUUAUGAUGUUGUAGUGAAGAUGCCGAUUACUCGCUCCCAAUCUGCCGGUGCGGACUAUGCGGCAAACUUUGAGGAGGUCGAGACCUCCACGAGACCUCCGCUACCUCCGGAUCCAGCGAGGUCCGUGAGUUGAGGGGCCAGCUUGCGGCCCUUACUGAUUUAGUCACUCAGCAGGCGGAGGCGGCCCGACAGCAGACCGAGGCGGCGCGCCGACAGGAGGCGUGGAUGAAGCGUCUGGAGGACCUACUAUUGCAGCAGGCGGCAGCUUCUAGGGAGACGCAAGCCCCUACACCGCCAGCACCAGUUGUGGACGUUGCACCGAGAGCGCUGUCCCCCGCACCCAGUUCUUCGCGUGCGGCGCCUGUGGCCGCACCCCAGGAGGAGGUUUUGGCGCCACCACCUGUUCAGAGGCCCCCAGCUGGAGCGGCAUUCCCUACCUUGGUCGAGGGGGCGGAGCGAGAUAGACUGAUGGAGCGCCUCAAUGAGUUCAGGAGGCGCAGCCCCCGAGUCUUCGACGGCGAGAAGGUCGACCACUGGAUCGUGGAGAAGUGGUUGAUGCAUAUGGAGAAGCUCUUCCGCGACACCUUCGUGGAGGAGAGGGACAGAGUUUGGCUCGCCACUCACCACUUGGAUGGCGAGGCCUACCGCUGGUGGUUGGAUCUCUAGGAGCACCCCAGCACUAACUUGGUAGCUAUCACUUGGACGAGGUUCAAGGAGCUUCUUUUGGCGCACUACUUCCCGACCAGCGUCAAGAGGAAGAUGGAGUAGGAUUUGCGCAGCUUGCGCCAGGGUGACAGGACUGUAGCCGAGUACGAGAGGGAGUUUUCUCGGCUUCUGCACUGCGUGCCUUUCGUCAUGCGGGACGACGAGGAUAAGGCCCGCAUCUUCGAGCGAGGGUUGCGACCGUCUAUCUUCCGGUUUGUGCAAUCCUCUAACCUCCAAACCUACCGGGAGGUGGUGGAUCGCGCGCUCAUUAUGGAGAGCAGCUCGGCGGAUGUCCAGGAGCAGCGAGAGGCUAGGGACAAGGGUAAGGCCAAGAGGCCUGCGGCUGAGGGUGCGAGCCAAACGCACUCUAGGAGGCCGCCAAAGCAUCCGAAGAGCCAGCAGCGUGGACGCGGCUCAGCAGCUCAGCAGGGAGGUUAUGAUCAACGCCGGCCCUCCCCGUGCGUGAUCUGUGGUGGUCCUCAUCACCCACCGCAGUGUCCACAGCGGGCGGGCAGGUGCUUCCAGUGUGGCCAGGAGGGCCACAUGCGGACUGAGUGCCUGAGGGGUUCUUCACCGGCACCGUCGACUGCAUCGGCACCGGCUCUACCAGCCGCCAGCCAGGGGACUCCGUCAGCAUAGUAUCAGCCUGGGCGGCCACCCGUCCAGCGCCAGAGUGAGGGAUCUCGUCAGGCCCCGAGCGGGCACAUGUACGCCACUCAGACCGAGGAGGCGGUAGCAGCCGAGGAUGUUGUUGCAGGUAUCAUUUUACUUGAUGGCAUUAGAGUUCGUGCUUUAUUUGAUACCGGUGCAUCGCAUUCAUUCAUAGAUCGGCUGUUUGCCGAGUUGUAUGGCAUCCCAUUGGUUUCUUUAUUGCAUACGGGACAUGUUGUUGUACCCAACCACGUUUUGGAUAUUAGAGAGUAUAGCCCCAGUUGCCCUAUUCGGAUAGGAGAUUGGAUUAUGCAUGUAGAUUUGCUAGCCUUGCGCAAGCUGGGGGAUUUUGACGUGGCCUUGGGCAUGGAUUGGUUGACCAAGUAUUAUGCCACGAUUGAUUGCAAAAAUCGCACGGUUACUUUUAGAGAACCUGGGCAGACUGAGGUGGUAUUUAGGGGAUGCCGGAGUUCGCUGUUUGCGAUGACGAUCAGCUCGUCUCGAGCUAGGCAGCUGAUCAGUAGAGGUUGUGUAGCCUAUUUGGCUAGUAUUGUGCUGAGGGGCGAGGAUGACACCCCUAGGAUUGAGGAUAUUCCGGUGGUGCGGGAGUUUCGAGAUGUGUUUCCAGCUGAGCUACCAGGUAUGCCUCCUGAUAGGGAGAUUGAGUUUGGGGUAGAUCUCGUCCCUGGGACUACCCUAAUCUCAAAGGCGCCCUAUAGGAUGGCACCGGCAGAGCUGAGGGAGCUGAGGGCACAGUUGCAGGAUUUGUUGGACAAGGGCUUCAUUCGACCGAGCGUCUUGCCUUGGGGAGCACCAGUUUUGUUCGUCAAGAAGAAGGACGGAUCGUUUCGCCUUUGUGUGGAUUAUCGCGAACUUAACAAAGUCACGAUCAAGAACAAGUAUCCGUUUCCGAGGAUCGACGACUUGUUUGAUCAGCUUCAGGGAUCGUGUGUGUAUUCCAAGAUAGACUUGCAGUCUGNGACAUGUUGUUGUACCCAACCACGUUUUGGAUAUUAGAGAGUAUAGCCCCAGUUGCCCUAUUCGGAUAGGAGAUUGGAUUAUGCAUGUAGAUUUGCUAGCCUUGCGCAAGCUGGGGGAUUUUGACGUGGCCUUGGGCAUGGAUUGGUUGACCAAGUAUUAUGCCACGAUUGAUUGCAAAAAUCGCACGGUUACUUUUAGAGAACCUGGGCAGACUGAGGUGGUAUUUAGGGGAUGCCGGAGUUCGCUGUUUGCGAUGACGAUCAGCUCGUCUCGAGCUAGGCAGCUGAUCAGUAGAGGUUGUGUAGCCUAUUUGGCUAGUAUUGUGCUGAGGGGCGAGGAUGACACCCCUAGGAUUGAGGAUAUUCCGGUGGUGCGGGAGUUUCGAGAUGUGUUUCCAGCUGAGCUACCAGGUAUGCCUCCUGAUAGGGAGAUUGAGUUUGGGGUAGAUCUCGUCCCUGGGACUACCCUAAUCUCAAAGGCGCCCUAUAGGAUGGCACCGGCAGAGCUGAGGGAGCUGAGGGCACAGUUGCAGGAUUUGUUGGACAAGGGCUUCAUUCGACCGAGCGUCUUGCCUUGGGGAGCACCAGUUUUGUUCGUCAAGAAGAAGGACGGAUCGUUUCGCCUUUGUGUGGAUUAUCGCGAACUUAACAAAGUCACGAUCAAGAACAAGUAUCCGUUUCCGAGGAUCGACGACUUGUUUGAUCAGCUUCAGGGAUCGUGUGUGUAUUCCAAGAUAGACUUGCAGUCUGGAUACCACCAAUUGAAGAUCAAACCCGAGGAUGUAUCGAAGACAGCUUUUAGAACACGGUAUGGACAUUAUGAGUUCACAGUUAUGCCGUUCGGGCUUACUAAUGCCCCGGCAGCUUUUAUGGAUCUAAUGGACUGUGUUUUCAAGCCUUAUCUAGACAGGUUCGUCGUAGUGUUCAUCGACGACAUUUUGGUUUACUCUCGAAGUGAUGCAGAUACGAGGAGCAUUUGAGAAUUGUACUCCAAGUACUUCGGGAAAAGGAGCUUUAUGCCAAGUUGAAUAAAUGUGAAUUUUGGCUUCGAGAGGUAGCCUUUCUUGGACACUUGAUUUCUGGAUCGGGUAUAGCCGUGGAUCCUAAGAAGAUUGAAGCAAUCAAGGAUUGGCCGAGACCGACGAGUGUCGCGGAGAUACGGAGUUUUCUUGGAUUGGCCGGUUACUACCGGAGAUUUGUCGAGGGAUUUGCAAGAUUAUCUACUCCCCUCACGAGGUUCACGCAUAAAAGAGUCAAGUUCAUUUGGAAUGAUACGUGCGAGCGAAGCUUCCGAGAGUUGAAACAAAGAUUGACUACCGCCCCGAUCUUGACCCUACCAGUAGCUGGAGCAGGGUAUGUGGUUUAUAGUGAUGCUUCACUUAAUGGAUUGGGCUGUGUAUUGAUGUAGGAUGGCAAAGUGAUCUCGUAUGCUUCUCGCCAACUAAAGGAAUAUGAAAAGAACUAUCCGACGCAUGAUUUGGAGUUGGCGGCCGUAGUGUUCGCAUUGAAGCUAUGGCGCCACUAUAUUUAUGGCGAGCGGUGUGAAGUGUACACGGAUCACAAGAGCUUGAAGUACCUGUUUACUCAGAAGGAGUUGAACUUGAGGCAGCGCAGAUGGUUUGAGCUACUCAAGGAUUAUGAUCUUACUAUUCUUUACCACCCAGGCAAGGCUAAUGUGGUUGCGGAUGUGCUAAGUAGGAAAUCGACGGAAAACUCAGCGAUGCAUUUGGUUACCCAACCGCAGUUGAUCGAGCAGAUGAUGCGGAUGGAGUUAGAGGUGGUGACUCCUGACACACCCUUGAGGUUGAUGACAUUGGUUGUGCAACCUACUCUUAUGGAUAGAAUUAAAGAAAAGCAAGCUUCCGACAUGGAGUUGCACAAGAUUCGAGAAAAAAUGGUUGAUGGUUGCACCGCUGAUUUCCUAGUGGACGAUCGAGGGUUGAUGCGUUUCCGCGGACGGAUUUGUGUACCGGCGGAUUUGGGAAUUAAACAGGACAUUCUUUAAGAAGCGCAUCGAGCGCCCUAUGCUAUACAUCCGGGAGGCACCAAGAUGUAUAAGGAUUUAAAGCUGCUCUAUUUGUGGCCCGGAAUGAAAAAGGACGUUGGCCAGUUUGUUGCUAGAUGUUUAACUUGCCAACAAGUUAAAGCUGAGCACCGAGUUCCCGCAGGAAAACUUCAGAGUUUGCCUAUUCCCGUGUGGAAAUGGGAGAAGAUCACCAUGGACUUUGUGACAUGAUUGCCUCGCUCACAGGCUAGGUAUGAUGCUAUUUGGGUGUUCGUGGAUAGGUUAACGAAGUCGGCGCACUUCGUACCCAUUCACACUACUUGGACCGGGGAGAAGCUCGCACAAGUGUACCUUGAUAAGAUUGUGCGACUUCAUGGAGUGCCUACUUCGAUUGUAUCGGAUCGAGACACCCGCUUUGUGUCUCAUUUUUGGAGGAGUUUACAGGACGCCCUAGGCACCCGACUGGAUUUCAGCACUGCUUUCCACCCCCAGAAUGACGGGCAGUCGGAGCGCACUAUCCAGACCUUAGAGGAUAUGCUCCGAGCAUAUGUGAUUGACUUCCAGGGAGGAUGGUCGCAGCAUCUACCUAUGGCAGAGUUUGCUUAUAACAACAGUUAUCAAGCAAGCAUCAAGAUGGCGCCAUUUGAAGCACUUUAUGGACGGAAGUGUAGAUCACCACUUCAUUGGAGUGAAGUAGGCGAGAGAUUGGCUUUAGGCCCUGAUGUGCUCCAGGAAGCUGAGGACAAGGUUCGAAUUGCUCGGGAGCGGCUUUUAACGGCGCAGAGUAGACAGAGGAGCUACGCCGACCGACGACGGCGAGACUUGGAGUUCCAAGUGGGAGACCAUGUUUUCUUGAAGGUCUCGCCGACUAGAGGAAUCAAAAGAUUCGGGAUUCGGGGAAAGUUGAGCCCCCGUUUCAUUGGACCGUAUGAGGUUUUGGAGCGUGUAGGUCCGGUAGCGUAUCGACUUGCUCUACCACCGAACCUAUCGGGCGUACACAACGUCUUUCAUAUAUCGGUCCUUCGGAGGUACAUUCAUGACCUAGCUCACGUUUUGGAGGCUAUACCAGGGGAGCUGCGUGAGGAUUUGAGCUUCGAGGAGCAACCAGUGAAGAUUUUGGCUCGCGAGUUGAAGAAACUAUGGAAUCGGGAUAUUCCGUAUGUGAAGGUUCUUUGGAGCAACCAUGGGGAGCGGGAGGCCACGUGGGAGUAGAGAGCGCGCUGCAGGAGCGCUAUCCCCAUCCUUUUCAGAUGGAGCCUUGAGGUAUGCUUUUGCUUUCGAGUUUCGUGGACGAAACUCCUUUUUAGGAGGGGUGAAUGUGACGCACUAGACCUUGCAAAUUGUGGGGUUCGAGUGAUUGGUUGUGUUCUGAGUUUUUCCAGACUUUCUGGUGGGUCGUUGACAGUGUUCCGACCUAUGGUUCGAGUCCCGAGAAUUGUGGUUUAAAGCUGUGUACCAAAAUCUAAAAAGUUAGAUUUUUGGUCAGCCCUCGGGUAGCCUUCGGCAGGCUGUGUACCGGUACGGGCUUGGUGGCUGUACCGGUAUGGGGUUGAUGGCUGUACCGGUACGGGCUCGCGUACCGGUACACAGACGUCUUUUUGGCCAAACCUGAGGCUCGGGUUUGCGUUUUCGUGGGUGGUGUACCGGUACACAAUUUUGUGUACCGGUACACAGUGCAGAUUGGGUCUGUUUCGCGGAGGGGUGUUUUUAUAAUUGUUGCAACACCUAUAUAUUACACCCCAGUCCCUUUAGAGGGCUUUCUUGUGCCCUAACCAGAGGAGAUAAGGUGAGACUCUCCCCCUUUGAUCUCUUCUCCAUUUUUGAGGGAUUUUGGUUGGUUUUGAUCUCUCCUCUCUUCUCCACCUUAUUUUUUGUUGGGUUUCCUCCAUUGUUGAAGCCUUAGAGCUUGGAGAGGAGCUUGUUUGAGAGGAGAUCUUCAACUCUACUUGGCUUAGAGCUUGGUUUGGGACAUCUUGUGAGGUGAGUACUCAUGAUCUCUCCUUUAGAGCAUGUUUUGGUAGUUUUCCUCUUUGGAAACUCUAGAUUUUGGAUUCUAGGGCUAGGAUUGGGAAUUUUUGAUUUGAGGACUUUGGAACCAAAUUGAUGGGUUUAGAACCUUUGUUUAGGUUUGAUUGGAAGGACUCUAGCUCCCAUUUGGAGAUUGAGAGAGCUUCCUUCGCAAUCGGUGAGUUUUCUUCAACCCUAGCCCGAAUUGGUUAAUGAUUGUGCAAUCUGUUGUUCGUUUCGUUUGGGUAACACUUGUUCCUACAUCCUUAGGAUACUAGGAGGCUAGUGGACACCUUCGUUCGGCGAAACGAAGAGUUCGAAAAAUCGGUGGGUUUGGCUUCAUGAUUUCGGGGCAAAAUGGCCCCUAUGAGUAAAAUACUUGUCUUUUUGUGAAAGUAACGCUUCUAUACUACUUAUAAAAGCGUGAGUUUUGAAUUUUUUCUCUUUCCAAAAAUGUCUCUAUCUUUUUUACUAAUAUUGUCAUGUCCAGUAAUUUUCAACUAUCCAUUUUAAAUAAAUCUUUAAAUAAUAAUUUAUUCUCAAAUAUAGAUUUUAAGUUUUCGCCAUUGGAUCUCAUCCAACCAAUAAAAAUGAAAGUAUCUAUCAUUUUUGUUGAUAAAAAUACCCUAUAUAUCCGUUAUCUCCCAUCUACGCCGCGUUUCUCAAAUAUUUUUCUUCUACCCACCAAUCAUGUAAUACGUAAAACUAAACUUAUCACUUAUCUAACCUAACAUAAUAUCCGCCAAUCACGUAAUACCUCUGCUAAUCACUAAAAAAAAUUAAUACCCGCCCAAUCAAAACUAAAUCGUUAAUUAAAUAUAAUUUUAAAUAUUUUUAGCAAAAUAUUCAAUGUUUAAAUAAUACCCACCAAAAUAUUCUCCGCGUUCUCAAAUAUAAAAUAUAUUUUAUCCAUUUUAAAUAAAUCUUUAAAUAAUAAUUUAUUCUCAAAUAUAGAUCUUAAGUUUUCACCAUUGGAUCUCAUCCAACGAAUAAAAAUAAAAGUAUCUGUCAUUUUUGUUGACAAAAAUAUCAUCCAUAUCCGUUAUCUACUAUCUACAUUACUCAAAUAUUUUUUUCUAUCCAUAAUACGUAAAACUAAAUUUAUUUCUUAUCUAGCGUAAUACCAGCCAAUCAUGUAAUACAUCCGCUAAAUUUAUUUCCUAUCCAAGAGUUUCCUCAAAUAUUUUUUUUUCUCAAACGUAAUAUCUACCAAAAUUAAAUUUUAAGUUUAUAAUGCCCGCCAAAAUUUAAUACCCGCGAAUUUAAUAAUUUGAAUUUUAAUUCAUGAUAGUAGAUUUUUCCUUACAUAAGAUAGUAGAUUUAAUUUUGACGAGUAUUAAAAUUUACGCGCCAUAAAAGUAUAGAAUAUUUCUAAAAAAAAUUAAUAUUUGUCCAAUCGUACAUCGUCAUCGUCUUACUCAUCAUCAUUGCCUGUGCCGGAACAUUGUCGCGUUCGCCACCUUCAUUAUAAUUAAAGAGGUAUUUUAAUUCCAUUUGAAUUUUUUUUUUAAUGUGCCUUUAUACUAUUUUAAUAUAUCUUUUUUUUUUAUUUUUUCUUAUUUUCACAAAUAUGUUUCUCAAAUAUAAAGUAUAUAUUUUUUAGUAAUAUAUUUUUUUUAUUUUUAUCUAUAUUUUUUUAAAAUAUUUUUAAAUAUAUUUUUUGUAAUAUACUUUCUCAUUUGUCAGCACUGGUACAUCGUCGUCAUCAUCGUCAUCAUCAUCACCGGCACCGACAUAUUAUCGCCUUCGCCACUUUCGCCGCCUUUGCACAAUUGAAGAGGUAUUUUGAUCCUAUUUGAAAAUUUUUCUUUUUUCAAUAUGCCUUUAUACUGUUUUAGUAUUUUUUUUAGUAUUUCUCAUUUUCACUUAUAUAUUUCUCAAAUAUAAAGCAUAUAUUUUUUUAGUAAUAUUUUUUUUCAUUUUUGCUAUUAUUUUUCUUAAAUAUUCUCAAAUAUUAAUUUAAUAAUAUCCUGUUUUAUUUAUCUCUGUCGUCGACACUGGUACAUCAUCACAUCACUGGCGCCGGCACAUUAUCCCCUUUGCAGAGGUAUUUUGAUUUCAUCUGAAUUUUUUUUUUUGUAAUGUGCUUCUAUGUUGUUUUAGCAUAUUUUUUUUAGUAUUUUAUCAUUGUUACCUAUAUGUUUUUCAAAUAUAAAACAUAUAUUUUUUUAGUAAUAUUCUUUUUUAUUUUUACCUAUAUUUUUCUCAAAUAUUCUCAAAUAUUUUUUUAGUAAUAUUAUUUCUCAUUUGUCCUCAUUGUCCGUACCAGAACAUCAUCAUCAUCUUCCUCAUCGUUAUCGUCGUCAUCAACGCUGACACAUUGUCGCCUUCGCCACCUUCUAUACUAUUACUAACUUCUAUACUAUUUCAGUUUUCUUAGAUGUUGUUAGAAUGAUUGUCCAAAUCAAUUACUCUUUAUUUGUCUGGUGUUAAUCGUCCUAAACUUGAAGGUAAAGUGUUUCUCUUUUUAUCAUUUCACAUGAAAAAAAUUAUUAAUAACUAAUUAUUUGGAUGGAUUGAAACAUGAAUUGGAUUAGAUUGAUCCGCUAUGACAAGAUAGUGCUAACACACAUUGGCAUAAAAAAAUUAUUAAUAACUAAUUAUUUGGAUGGAUUGAAGUAUGAAUCGAACUAGAUUGAUCCUCUAGGACAAGAUAAUGCUAACACACAUUGGCAUGUGGAGAGACGCUAUUGCAAACAAUUCAGUUGUUGUAUUAAAGCAGUGCACGUUAAUAUCGAUAAUUAGGAUAAAUAUACUUUUUAAUAUUUUAUUUUUUCUGUGGUAUUUUAAAUUUAUUUAUCAGAAUCAAUUUAUUUAGCAAAGUUUUGCGAGUAAAAUUGUGCUUAAUCCACCUAUUCCAAAAACUCAAGAAAUAAAAUUAAGCUAAAAAUUUUUACUUAUAUGAAUUCUUAUUAAAUUUAUAUUUUUUAUUAAUUUUAUCUAUUCUGAUGAUUUACUAAUAUUUACUUUAUUAUUUUUCUUACUUUCAGUGUAAUUUGUACGGAAGNNNNNNNNNNNNNNNNNNNNNNNNNNNNNNNNNNNNNNNNNNNNNNNNNNNNNNNNNNNNNNNNNNNNNNNNNNNNNNNNNNNNNNNNNNNNNNNNNNNNNNNNNNNNNNNNNNNNNNNNNNNNNNNNNNNNNNNNNNNNNNNNNNNNNNNNNNNNNNNNNNNNNNNNNNCAAACGGUAGAAAAUAUGCGGAUCCGAGUGGGUUCGGGACAUAAUUAUUAUUUGUUUUGUUUACUAAUUGUUGAUACAUCCGAGUGGAUUUUAUCGUUAUUAUUGACAGACAUGUUUUAUUUAUUUUGCACAUUAUUAUUAUCAUGUUCUAUUAUUGGAUAUGACUGUUGCGGUUGGAUUUCUCGGAGGAGAGGGAUUUAUCCGGUACACGGUUUUCGAGGAAAAACGGUGCGAAAUUGUAGCUCUCGCGGUUAGAGCGACGGAGUGGAGAUGCUCUAAAUUAUGACCUUUGUGGUUUCAAAUUUAAAUUAUCGUUAUUUUUGAAGUAGAUUUCUUGUUAAGCAUUGCGCUUACUUUUGUUGUCUACUAUUUCAGGUACCGAGAGUCGGGGCGUGUGAGAUAAUUGGCCGGCGAGAACUCGUUAGAUAGAUUUCAAAUUUGGGACAUAUGAUUUAUUUUGACAUGAGAUUGAUUAUAUGGACAUUUAAGAGUUAUUGUUUAGUUUCGUUUUAAUUAAUAAAUUAUUUAGUUUUUAAUUGAGAUGGUGUCUUUGGAUCAAUUUAAGGCCUUCCGUUUUCGGAGGUUCUUCCUUUGAAUUCGUGGCCGGUUGUUGCGGUUCAGAUCCGAGCAGUCGGAUCUGGGGCGUGACAGCUUUAGUUGUAUCAGAGCCUAGGUUAUUGACACCUUAGGGCAAAAUGACACCAUACUUAGGGAUUUAGGACGCGCGAGUGCGUGGGAUUCUUUUUGGACACGAGGCGAGGGUUUAGCAAAAUUUUAUGUCUUGAUUGUGUUCUGUUUUGUAGACGAUGCCUCGUUCUCAGAGGACUGACACUUCGCAAGCUAAUGUACCUGCUGAUCCUAUUCCACUGGGGGAUCUACCGCCAGAGAUGUAACACACUGAACCUAUACAAAUUGCGAGGUUCGAGUGUUCGAGCUGUGUGCUGAGCAAUUCCAGAUUUUCUGGUGGGUCGUUGACAGUGUUCCGACCUAUGGUUCGAAUCCUGAGAAUUGUAGUAUUUUAUAUAGCGCUAAGGUCACCAAAGAGUUGGACUUAGGCUACCCUCCGAUUGCAUUCUGCAUAUGGUGAAACCGGUGACACGUUGAUGGUUGUACCGGUACACAUUUUUGUACCGGUACAAGUUGAUGGUUAUACCGGUACACUUGUGCAGAAUUUCAAACCCGAGGCUCGGGUUUGCUGUCUCGCGGGAUUUGUACCGGUACACUUUUCCGUGUACCGGUACACUUUGGCAGAUUUUGAGCAGUUUGAACUGCAGGGGGGUUUUCACAAUUGUGCCACUUCUAUAUCAUCACCCACGCCCCUAGGGCUCCUCCUUGAGCUUGCCACUGCAGGGAGAAAGGUAAGGGGGCCCUCUCUACCUUUCCACUUGGAUUUUAUCUCCUUUUACCUUGGAUUUUGGUGGAUUUACACCUCUCUUUGCUCCUUUUGCUUGUUGAAGGCUUUUUCACCAUUGGAGUUUGGUCUUGGAGCUUGUGGAGAGGGAGAUCUCCACACUUGGAGGAUUUUGAACCUUGUUUGAUGCUUCGAAAAGGUUAGUAGCCCCUUCUCUCCCUCUAGAUUGAAGUUUUAUCGAUGGAUUUGGGAUGAAACCCUAGAAUGGAGAUUUAGGGUUUGUUUUGGGCAUUUUGAAUCUAGGACUUUUGGAGCUUGAUCACUUGGAUUAGAACCUUCCUCUAGGUUGAAUUGGAAGGGUUCUAGCUAUCUUUUGGAGCUUAGGAAGAGAUUUUGCACUAGAGGUGAGUUUUCUCCACCUUAGCUUGAAAAGCUUAAUGUUUGAACUUAGUGUUGUUCGUAAGGUUCAUGUGACUCUUGUUUCUUUACCUUUAGGGUACUAGGAGGGUGGUGGACACCUUCGUCGGAGCAAACGAAGGGUUUCGUUUACCUUGGUGGGUUUGACUUCAUGAAAACGGAGCAAAAUGGCCCCUAUGCUUUCUAAACUCUUCGUAAAGUAUUUUUGAAUGCCAAUCCAUGCUAAACAUGAAUUAUAUGAAUUUUAGAGCAUUUAAAAUGCAUGCAUUAUGUAUGAUGAAAAUUGCCCUCUAUAUAGUAGAGCCACCUGUGUAGACCGCAUGCAUUAUGAAAGGUAUUUAGCUUUGCAAGUUGAGAACAUGUUUCCUAUGUUUGAAAUGAAUAGAAUUAUGUGUCAGGAACAUAAAAAUACCAUGCUUGAACUCGUUGAACAAUAGUGUCAUAAAGGGGCACUUGAAACUAGAAAACCAUGAAAUUGCAACAUAGAGACAUGAUGACAUAGUGAUGGGCCAUCGUCACGGUUGAUUCAUAUUCCAUGUUUUAGACAUGAGGACUUGAUACUUGAGACAUACUGAUACGCAUGCUUGUCAUUGUGCUCAUUCGCACAUGCUUGUGAGGGUCACUCCCUACAAGCCGGCACUCCGGAGUUGGCCAUUGCGAUACGUUCGCCGUGCGGGAUUGGGCGCCGAAGUGGAUUGCCGUGGGAAAGGCUCAUUCCUAGGGUAGGGAUGUUGACUAUCACGGGGCCAUUAGGCACGGUAGAGCCAGACAGCCUACGGGUGGGUCUUAUGCCAGACAGCCUUCGGGUGGGUCUCAUCAGAGCUGAACUUUAAACAGUUAAAGUUACAAGAUGAUAUUGACUAGAGUAGUGGACAUUGACAUUAUAGCUAUUCACAUUGUGGACAUUGGGAUAGUUGUAUACUCAAGUAACGAAAAGCACAAGCGGAAACAUACAAAAACGGCUUACACGAGGGUAAGCAAUAGCCAUGAGUGAAAGAAAGGAACUAAACAUUUACACAAGUUCUAUGAUUCACUUUUGAUCAUAUACAUGUAUUCAUUUCAUCCAACUUAUACAUUCACAAGUCUUUACAUUUCAUUACAUCACUUGCAUCAUUUCUUUUUACAUCACAUUGCCUCAAAAUAAAACUUUACAUUCUUUUCUCUCUUUGCUUUAUACAUAGACAUCUUCAAAUAUAAAAGAUGGAUACAGGGUAAACUACUAGCAAAAAGCAAAACCCGACUCGGGUAGUCACUGUCUAUGGCGCGAUACCUUUACCGCGGUCGCUCGCCAGCUCGCUCGAUCCCGACUCUGUAGAAAUGAUGGGGUGAGAACUACAACAAAGUUUUCAGUGGGUUCGGCCCCAAUCUCACCGAUUUUUCCACUAGGUCUAACUCAGGCAUAAUAGAAAGAAAGCAGAUAAGUAACCAACUAUACAAAUGCAACUAAUAUGCCUAAACAAUGCGAUCAAUAAUGAUGCUCAAUAUAAAUUCAUGAAGAAUGCAUGGUUCUUGUUCUUUGUUUCUUUGUUCUUUCGUUCAAUCCCAAGGCUAACCCGGGGGUAUCGCCUCAAUAACUCACCAACUCAAAGUCCAUGAUCGCGGGCCCUCACCUUCCUCCCGCUAGGACCGUCCUUUGGGGAACAGCACCAACCCAAUGAUGACAAACUCCGGAGCGCAUCGCCCUAGGGGGAGCGACCACCCUCAGGCAAGGACUUAUAGGCAAGUAUGAUCAAUCCUUAACUCUAAGGAUAUUCAGUUCAAUCUGUUCCUUAACUCUAAGAAAUUUUGCACAAAUGACCCUUAGCUCUAAGGUUGUAUGUCAUUGUGUCUCAAUCUCAUAUUCUUUGCAUUCUUUACUUUGAUCAUGCAAAUACACUAACUCUAGUGUUCUUUACAUUCUUUACUUUCAUUCAUAUCAUAAUACUAACUCUAGUGUCCUUUAUGUUCUUUACUUUGAUUCAUAUCAUAACACUAACUCUAGUGUUCUUUAUGUUCUUUACUUGAUGCUAACUCUAGCAUUGUCAUUCUUUAUUGUCACAUAUUUGCUAACUCUAGCUUUUCAUCAUUCUUUAUAGUAUAUUUGUUCUCUUGAUGUCAUACACUAGCUCUAGUGUUCUUUAUAUCAUACGUUAUGCUAAGUUUAGCCUUUCGUUCUCAACAUUUCAUUGUCCUCAUGUCAUAUGUCACUUAUUCUUUAACUUUAUAUUGUUCUCUUCAUCAUACAUGCAUAUAUAGGGUUAUUACAAUCUCAUUGGUUCUCAACCAUCUCAUGAUGCACUUGAUCUCACAAAAUGCAAACAUUCACAUGAUUAUCAUCUCUUUACCCUACUAUGCAUGCAACAACAUACUCAUGGAUGCUCAAGAAGUGACACAUUAGACAUAAAAGGAAUUUCAACAAGUUUGAAAAGCACCCCCCACCUCGUAGGGUUACUUUCAUGCUACGAUGAUUUUCUUGAGAUUUUUAGACUCCUCGUUCGCUACCUCCGGCAAAACGAAGCCAAAUUAGACAUUUUUGCUCAUAACUUUUCAUAAACUUUUCGUAACGUAAAUCCGAGCGCACCAACGCGUUCGUUUGGUCCCCAGUUAGGUUUCUAGAGGGUCAAUUUCACUUUGAAACCCUCACAAGCAAAAGCCCCAAAUUUGGGUGCCCUAGCUUCACAUAUAUCAAAACCUAGGGUUUGAUCUCAUUAGGAAGCGAAAGAAGCUUCAUUAUACUCUAGAGAGUCCAUCUAAAUCAUUCUUAGCUCAAUCAAAACCCUAGUUUGGGUUUCACCAUGAGAGGUUGAAGUUCACCUCACAGCUUCUUCAUAUAUACCCAAUCCAUGGUUUUGAUCUCUUAGAGAAGCAAAAGAGAGCUUCAAAUACUCAAAAGGUUCUACUAAAACCAUUUCUAGGUCAUUUGGUUCUCAUUCUAGGGUUCUACCAUGAAUGGGAUCAAAGCUUACCUCAAAGCUUCCCUUUCUUUGCUCCAAAGAGGAACACUACAACAAAAUAUGCGUUUAGUGGCAAAUUAAUAGCGGCGAUUAUGAAAUGGCUGCUAUUGAUCAAUAUUUGAUUAUACUUUAGUGACAAUUAUUUUAAAUUAUAAAUUUUUACCGACCAAUAUUAAUGUAUUAACUAUGCCUAUUCUAAAUCCAAUUAGGAAUCCUAAUAAUAACCCAAACCCGAGCCCACCCCAACCUAACCCGAUCCCACCCCUCUCCACCACCAUCACCUCCUCUCCGCCUCCCUCCAAUGGCGCCGCUCUCUCAAGCUCGAAACCCUAUCAUGCUUCCCCUCUCCUUCACCUCUCCUCUCUCCUCCCUUUCCUUCACCUCUCCGAUCUUUCCUCCUAAAUCGCCGUCGACCUCGCGUGCACCGGCGCCCGAUCUUCCUGGCCCCUCGUGCACAAGCGCCCGAUCUCUCCUCCGUCUCCUUCUCUUCGGCGCCCUCCGAUCCCUCCCUUCCCCCGCGUCGCCGCUUCUUGAAGGUGCGUCGCGUGACAGGUCGCCGUCACCAGCGACGUCUUGUCGUCGUCGGAGGCGGCGGCGGAGGAGGAGGCGGCGGCGGCGGCGAAGAUCGGGCGGUGGAUCCGCGUGAAGGCGCCGCUCAGGGUGUACCACGUGGCAAAGGCGCCGGAUCUGGAUCUGGGCGGGAUGGAGGGGACUAUCAAGCAGUACCACGGCGUGGGGAAGGGGAAGCGCAUCAACGCCAAUCUCCCCUUCAAGGUCGAGUUCCUGAUCUGAAUCGACGGCCAGGAUAGCCCUGUCAAGUUCUUCGCCCACCUCCGGGAGGACGAGUUCGAGUACGUGCCCUCCUCCGAUGGCCCUAAUUGAGAUCGCCCUUUUUGGGGUUUGUAUCGGUGAGAUCGGGGAACAAACACUAGCUCCUCCUCCUCCUCUUCCUCUGCAUAUUCAUAUCCUGAUUCUUUGGAGUUUCUUGAUAUCGCAGAUAAUUACGACGCUUGCCACUGCGGUAGUCCGGUGGAUUAAACUCUCAUUGCAAGGUGGUAUUUUAUAUCUUUUUAUUCAAGGACUAUUAUUAUUUUUUAUUUAUUAUAUCAUUUUUUUUCCUUUUUUAUUUUACUAGAAUAGAUUAUAUUUUGGUUCUCAAUCUAUAAAACGUGUGACAUUUGGUUCUACUAUUUUGAAUUCUUCGGUUAACUUCAUCAUAAUAGCAAGGCACUUCUACUUAUUCAUCAACCAAGUGAACCAUGUGUAGAAUAAUGAGUGGUUCAAUCACUGUUAGCAACUAGAUUGUUGGUUCAUUCCAUUAGCUCUGAUCUACACUUACAAAAUUAAAGUACCGUUUAUUGAUUCCAUUGGUUAUGAGUAUUUUAGAGUUUCUUAAUUCUUUGGCACAUUGGAAUCAUGAUUUUGCGAAUGACGCUUCAAGCUAUAUGAAGCACAGAUUGUUUAGGUAUUUGGCCUGGUAUCUAAGUACUUACAGUGGUCUUUUUGAUAUGAUUUUGCAUAUGUUAUUUUACUAGUUUAUAACUAUAUAAAGAAGCUUCUACUAUAAUUGUUCUCAUCUUACAUCUCUAUGAAUCUCUCAUAUUAUGCUCUUUGUUGUGGAUUGAUCAACCUCUUUCUUCGAUUAAUUGGUGAGUUUGGCAUGAAAUUUUGGUAACUAAUAGUUUAAUGUAGUUGGAACAUGCUUUUGCUUGGAGCUUUUGAUGCUUGUGGUUUUUUGGUUGUAUGAGUGAGUCUAAAGACUACUUUAGGUGAUUUUUUUGCAAGCGAAUGUGAAUGUUGAGAAUUGGUUGAGUUGAUUCUAUUAAUGUUAUGUCUCACGAGUCUCUUGGUCACUACUUUUGCUGAGUAAAGUAUUGCUGGUGUGUUAAGUUCUGGACUUUGUGCUUCCAAAACAAUAAAUUUAUCACUAGAUGAAUCACCCUAUGUUAUGACUUGAGAAGUCAAGUGUCAGAUCCUUGUCUAGUCAUCAAUGUAGCAUCUUGCGGAUUCCAUACACCACAGCCGCUAGUAUAUUGUACUUAAUGUGGCUUCCUAAAUGAAUAGUGGCAGUGACUAGUGCUUAUUAUGACUUGAGAUGUCAAGUGUGAUAUCCUUGUAUAGUCAUCAAUGUAGCAUUUUGAGGAUUUCAUACAUCGUAGCUGGUGAUAUAGUUUCUUCACAUAGAAAGCUUUCUAUAUGAAUAGUUGCAAAUUUUAUUAGCAUAACUGGUUUAGCUAUUACAUCAAAGGUAAAUUACAUCUUUAUUGAUAUGCCGCUUGCCUAGAAUGUACUUCACACAGAUAAAUUGUUCUCCUCUUUCUUUCAUCUUAGUUUAAAUAUCUCUCUUAUGUGUAGGAUAUUUGUGGACCUUCCUAACGCUGGGAACCGAACGAAAAUCCUAAAGAUUAUUUGUAAUAUGUCGAAACCCGACUACAUUGCUAAUCUUGAUCAAAAUGACCAAGAUGAUGCAAAAAUAGAAAUUAAAUGCUUCCAAAUUAAAUUGGUAGCUUGGGCAUAGAGUUUAGCAUGUUUUGGAAGUGUUUGGAUGAAUUCGGAGUGAGCUGGAUGUGAGAAACGAGCUGCCAAAGCUGCUGCUGCCAGCAGGGACUGAAUUGCGAACCUGCAGGGACUGAAAUGUAAACUGUAGUAUUGUAAUGCACUUUUGCUGAAUUGAAGGGUUAAAGAGCAAUUGUUUGUUCUUGCCACUUAACCCCAGCCCCCUAGAAAAUGUCCACGUACCAGCACCCCUCUCCAAUGCUUCUUUUCAUUUUUUUUUUCCUUUCUUUCUCUCUCAGCCCUUGGAGCAGAGAAGUGAAGAAAAGCUUGUGAAGUUGAGUUUUCUUGUUGUUGGAGCUAAGAAGAAACUCUGUGGGACUGAAAAGAAGGCUUUUGGAGCUGAGAAAUCCCUUGGGGAAGCUUUAAAUCCAGGUAAGCUUGAUGCCUAAUUCCCUGGUUGAGUAGUAUUAGUGAUUGUGAAGCUGAUUUCCAAAGUGAUCUUGGUAGACUUGGGUUUUGAACUUGAUAGGAGCUGCCGAAGUGGGAAACCAGCUGAGGAAGCUUGGAGUUCGAGGUAGAAGACUUGCUUCUCAGCUAGGAUAAAGGGUAAUUGCUUCAUAGAAGCCUCUAAAUGGUUAAAAUUGAUGUAUGUAUGCAGAAAUUCAAGUAGAAGCUGUUGGUGGGAUGCCUUGUGGAGGUUUUGGGCGCCCAGAUUGAGAGAGGACCUGAGGGAGCUUCUUUGGUGUUUCGAAUUUCAGAAAAUCUGGUGGAGCCUUGAAGCUAGGUAAGAUGGAUAAUUAUUCCUUGGUUUAAGUGAUAUGAAUUACUCAAAAAUGGAAUUGUAAAUAUUAGAAUCACUAACUUUAACCUUGUAUAAAGGGCUGAGAGGGGAAAUGUUGAAGUGCUGAAAUUACAACUUUGGUGGAGCUUCUUUUGGUGUUCUGAGCUGAAAGGAAGCUUUAGAAAGCUGAGAGCAACUUAGUAAAGCUUCUAAUUCAGGUAAGAAUAGUGUCUAUCCCUGAAUUGAGUAAUGUUGGGUGUUAUAAAGAUGAUUCCUGUAACGUAUCACUUCCCCGUAAGUCGUGCCGAGUUCCGUCGAAAUGAGCGGAACGCGGAAAUGGAUGAUUUACUAUAGGCUAAAGUGCAUUGGAGUCUAUAUAUGAAGUAUAAAGGGACUCAAGAGAGUGAAACUGUAAUUCUGGAGAAGUUCCAAAAAUUUUACUCUCGGGGACCGGUCCCUUGGGUGAGAGACCGGUUCCCGAAUGUUGAUCAGUCGAACGAGGUGAAAAAUCAGCAAAGUCCUAGAAAUUGAGCUCUCGGGAACCGGUCCUUCGGCGGGAGACCGGUCCUAGGAGACCGGUUGCGUCGGGGGGAGACCGGUCCCCUUCUGCGCAGAGUGCAGGAUAGCUCUCGGGAACCGGUCCCUGAAGGGAGAGACCGGUCCCCGAGCCCGAAAUUGCCCAGUGAGGGCUGGUUGCAGAGAUGAAAAGUUGAGGGGUUUAAGUGCAAAUGUUACAUGAGAUGGUUGUAUAGAGGUGAGGGUUAGGGUUAGCCCUCAUUUCCCUCACACCUAAACACAAGCCUUCCCUCUCUCUCUCUAAAAACCUCUCCUCUCCCUCUCCCUCUUUCUCUAGGGCUUGGACUAAGAGAGGUUUUGGAGGAGAAAAGUUUGGAAAAGAAGCUCUCCAAGGUGUAGAGCAAGCUUGAUCAAGGCUUUGAAGGAAAGCUUUGGGCUCAAAAAGGUGAGUUCUUGUGAUUUUAAGUUAGGUUUUGGGUUUUUGCUUCUAGUUGAAGCAUUUAGGAAUGUCUAUGGUGGUUUUCCUCCAUGUUUCGUCAAGCUAGGGGCUUGAUUGGAAAAGAUGACAUUGUGCAAGGACCUAUAUUUAGGGUUUUAUAAUUUUGAGGUUCAAACUUGGAUUUGAUCUCAUUUUAACCUAAUUGGUAGGUCUACGAUCGCAUCGGUGCGCUCGGUUCGGCGAUACUACGAGCGUGCGUGAAGAUAUUAAGAAAACAAGCUGAAAUAAUACAGAUCGUCGUAGCUCGCGGCGAACAAGUUUAGAAAUCGUGAAACCUGGACCACGGCAUCCUUGUGACACAUAAAGGUGGCGGGUGCUAUCCGGAAACACCGGAUCUCUUUCUAUGUCUAUGUCCCUUCUUUGAGCAUAUUAGUAUUAUAGCAUUUUUGCAUGUAGGGUAAUGAACAGCAUAUGUUGGUUGUAACAAUUAUCUGCGAAGAUUAUUGUAAUGAUAUAGAACCAUGUGAAUAAGGAAAGUGAAAGACCCUAUAUGCAUGUGAAUGUGAGAAAUGAUUAUGACCGUAGUAAACAAAGACGACAUUGAUAUUAGUGACUCUAUUGACAUCGAAAAGAGAAUAGUUAAACAAGGUUUAACCCGAGUGACAUUAUGUGUAUUGUGGCAUUAGGACCAUUAUGACAUCGGCAAAUGAUAGUAUGUGCAUGAAUAGGUAUUAACCAUUCAUCGGCAUUGAGACAGUGAGAAUUGUGACAGGUUGGCCAAACCUCCUCAAAUUGAGGAUGGGAUCAUACUCACAUGUAUUGGUUCCGGCUUAUGCGAGGUCGCUCCUCCACAAGCGGUGUACUCCGGAGAAGAAAAGCACCACGGGUGGAAGUGCCCGGCGAAGAUCCUUCAGGUGGUUGUGCCUUGUGUCUCCCCCGUUAGACAGGAUAUGCGGACUGUGUGUUGGGAUAAACCAGGAGCACCCCAGGUUGAUUGGGUAAAGGCCAAAGGAAUGUGAAAAGGACAUGCAUGCAUAAUUAUCAUGUAUUUGAAUAUGAAUAUCUAUUUGUGGAUUACUUUCUUGCAGGCAUUGUAUUAGAAGUGCAUUAGUUGGUUUGUUAUUCUUCUUUAUUGAAAUACAUAUGCCUGAAUUAGACUGUCAUACACUGAACUUUUGCAAAUUGCGAAGUUCGAGUAUGUGGAAUGGUGUGUGGAUCAAUCCAACAUGUUCUAAAAGGUUAGAACAAAUUUUUGGAUAAGUUAGAGGAUGAUUGGAAUGUUAAAAGUGAGAAAUUAUAUUGAUCUGCGAAAAUCAGGGUUUUCUGCUUGCUGUACCGGUACAGCCAUCACCUUGUACCGGUACAGCAUUGGCAGAUUCGUGGCAGCAGGGCUGUUUUGGUCAUUUCACACUUGAUCCCUAUCUAUUAGACCCCAGCUCGACCUGGGAUACUCAGUGGAGCCUGCUGGAGUCCAGAGAAGUGUUCUCCCAUCUUUCUCUUUCUCUCUCUCUAGGGUUUUUCUCUCUCUANNNNNNNNNNNNNNNNNNNNNNNNNNNNNNNNNNNNNNNNNNNNNNNNNNNNNNNNNNNNNNNNNNNNNNNNNNNNNNNNNNNNNNNNNNNNNNNNNNNNUGAAGAGAUUGCGGAACCGUGAGAUUCCCUAUGUGAAGAGUGCUUUGGAGCAACACGACGAGCGCGAGGCCACUGGGAGUUGGAGAGCGCACUGCGGGAGCGCUAUCCCUAUCUCUUUCAGAUGGAGGCUUGAAGUACUUUACUUUUUGAGUUUCGCGGACGAAAACUCCUUUUUAGGAGGGGUGAAUGUAAUACACUGACCUUUGCAAAUUGCGAGGUUCAAGUGAUUGCUUGUGUUUCGAACUUUUUCAUACUUGGUGAGGUGUCACGCCCGGGUCGAUUUUAAAAGUCUUUUUAAAACAGAGUUGCGGAAAACGUGCCAUUUUUUUUUUUGAAAAUACCGUCUUUCUCAACCUGGCCACGCGACGUACAGACCCGCACAUACAAAGUUCCUCUGUCACUAUCGGACAGAGUCUCCUUUGUAUUGGCACGGCGUACCAACAGAUACAACAGGAUCUCAACCAAACUCUACAUUUAAACCAACAACAACCAAAGCAUGAUAUGCAUUUUCAUACAGCUAACAAUCCUUAGAAGAUGCAUGCCUCUAAGCACUCCUUAGGCGCUGGAUGAUGUAAUGCACAAUACAACAAACAUCCUAUUUAAAAGUGCUCCCACACGGAAGCUUUUGUUUUAAACUCUAAUUCAUUCAUUCAUAAAAACCGUUCGAAACCUUUUUAAAACUGUUUCCCACACGGAAACUCUAUUUGAAAACCGACUACCUCGAGGGGUAGAAAACCACGAUGCAUAACUACAAGAAAACCAAAUCUCCACAGAACGCAAAACCACAGAUCGAAAAUCCAAUCUCAUGUAUAAUAAAACAUCCAUAAUCUCAUGCAUAAACGGAAUCACCACAUUAACAUCUAACUGAACCAUUUAUUAAGAAAACUACUAAGUGCGGGAAAGAAAUAACCAGGGUGACGGUCGCUACUGCCGUCUAACUAGAUCGUCUCUCGUCGAGCCCGAAAUCCAACUCCUCGUCUCUGUAACCUGGGGGGGGGAAAGGGGGUGAGAAACCGCAACCAUGGUUUUCUCAGUGGGUACGACAGAGCCACGAAGGCAAGUCGUAAUCACCGAAACCAAAGGAGAUAGAUAAACAAGUAUAUAACUGUAAGCUGAUAUGAAAUAGAACUACAGUAGCUACAACAGAUAAAUAGGAAGCAAUAAUAAACCUUCUACUGUAUAGAAAACAAUGCAAAGAAUGCCUCAAUGUACUGAACCAGAAACUGUACCCAAUCUGUGCUGCUGAUCGGUUCGUAGACCUCAAGCGCUACAUGUCCUAACUCAGACCGCCUGAUCCAUCCGCCCCCGCAGGACGACCUAUCCGGAUAAGUAACCUCCGAUCGGUGGCCAACCGAUACCGGUGUCAUGAAUACCCCAAGUGCCGUGACUAAGUCAUGCUGGUAAUGCUCAACAAAAACAAACCCGACUAAAAGCCGUGCCUAGGCCGAAGCCAACAACGAGGGCGUACAAUGCCAAAUGAAAUAAAAGCUAGGGCGUACAACGCCGAACCGAAAUAAGAUGCUAGGGCGUACAACGCCGAACCUCGAUCAACCAGAUCGAAACACAACCACAAGAGAGUCGAUGUGUUGCCUGACCCAAGGUCCACAGAGAUACUGAAAUACAAAUGCAACCUGCUCUACAUGUCUAUCAUCACUAACCCAUGGCAGUCAACGAAAUACGAUAGCCAAAUGAUACCAAACACUGACAUGUAGAGCUAAUAUACUGGAAUAGAAAAACAGGAAGAAGAGGUGAAACUCUCACCGACUACCACUCGAGAGCACCACCUGUCACUGUCGGCUCGGAACACGGAGUACGCACAAGUCUACCGGACCUAAGAAGAUCCACACAAGUCAGUAUCCAAACCACUCACCCAAAGCACGAGACUCACAACCCCCACAAGGAUCCCGUAAUCGGUUUCCCAAAACCGAUCCCGUAACUCACGGAAGUCCCGAAAACACACACGGGACGCCGUCGGGACCGCACUAAGUGUCCGAACUCACACGACUCGUACCACGAGUCACCUGCUGCCCCAACAUUCCAAUUUGGAUUGCCCUGGCAGUGAAACACAAGGUAACACAACAAUACGGUCAUCGCCGGAUAAUCGUACGAAUCCGGGUUUCCGGAGUGUCUAUUUCGACACGAAACCCUCCGUCGCUCACCCAUCAUCAUCGACACCACAAAAUGAUGAUGGUGACCAGCAACAAGGCUCAGCGAUGAAACCACGAAGCAAAACCAAACACCGUCGGAAAGAAUCCGAACCGAAACGCGCGUUCUUUCGGCGAAUUUCGCCGAAAAACGCACCGAAAUCGACUACGAUUCUCGCGAAAGCUAACGGACCAUGACAAUCAGUCGAGCGAUCAUAACAAACUCCCACACACUGCCCACAGUAGCCACGCAAAGCAGCAAUCGCAUAAAGAGACCUCUAAUUAACAUAAAUAAUCGUCAUUUUAAUGUAAUUUUGAGGCGAUCAAGCGGCUCGUUCACGCAAACCGAGGACUUCAAGUCCGCAGAGACACGUACUGACAGGUCUCGACGUACCGGAGUCGGUGCUCACGAUCCGGAGCACAGCGGCUCGCUGUGGGAAGCGCGGGAGCAACGCCGAAGGUUCAGCGAAUAGCGCGCAGUCAGGGAGAUCGCGCCGAACAGAAUAACCGGACACUUCUGAUCCAAGGGAAGGUGAGCUUGUGAUCAGCACUGACCCACGAUCACCGUGCUCAACCUCCGGAGGCAUCAGGACAGCCUCGGAUCGCCGGGUAAGCGUGCGCAAGCCCAAAUCAGCAGCCCAAACAGGCUGAAAGGAGCGCAGCGGAUGAUUGACUCGAGGCCGAGUCGGGUGGUUAGCUUGAUUAGGUUAAUAGAAACCUAAAGGUAAGAGCUGAGGUAAUAGAAACCUUAGAGUAAUGUGAAUUUGAGUUGUGAACUGAGGUAAUAGAAACCUUAGAGUAAAGAAAUAUGAGCUAAGGUACCUAAGUAAAAGUAGAAUUCAAAUGAUCUACUAGAUGUUGCAUAGAGUUGAAUGACUUGCAUAUUGCAUAUUGUUAGGUCUAACAUGUAUUUCAAUUGAAUAUAUUUGCAUUGUAUAUUGUUGAACUAACAUAUUGCAGGGCCUUCUUAGACCUUUUGGUCGAGCUUUUCCCUUGGGUGGCCGUACCCACUGGGAACCAUGGAGUUGGUUCUCACCCCACGUUGUUUUGGGGUGUUUACAGGUUGUACGAGUGCGGCGCGGCGGCGCGAGGCAAGGGCGUAGCUCCGUAGAUAGCGCCCUACCCAGAGACUAGAGCUAGCAGUACCCCGUCGACAUAGCUUAGGGGUUAAGGAAUGAAAGGAACAUAAUAUAUCAAAUUUGUAAUGAGUAAUUUGUAAUAACUAGAUUGCAUUUGGAUGAAAAAGAAUGUAAAAAGAAUUGUAAUGUAAAAAUAUGUGAAUGUGAAUGUAUGUAAUAAUAUAGGAUGUGUUAUGUUGUUGAUACCUUCCUUAUGCAAUCUGUUUGUUGAAUACUGUUCCUGGUUGGAACCUUCGUAUUGUAUUGAUUGCGUUGCCUUAAAUGUACAGGGGAAACCCUGUCCAUUCGGUGCUGUCGGCGGUGUCGCGAACCUGACCAAAGAGGCGGGGGUCGCGGGUCGUGACACAUAUGUUAUCGAGUUAUUGAUUCUCUUGCAUAAUCGUUUAGGUAGAAUUUGAAGAGGAUUGUAUAAAGAACCAUGAUUGUUAAUCUAUUUUCUUUUCCUUUUCUUGGGCUGAUUGCAAAUUUAGUUCCUAGAGUUUAAAUUGAUUUCAAUCUUUUGUCCUUACAGCUACAUUUGUAGCAAUUUAGUCCACAAUCUUUGCAGCCCACAAUAGUCAAAUUCUUAUGUUAGUCUCCAGUCUGAAAUAUGAGCAAACUCCACAUACUAAAUUUUUUUACCUAAUCUUUCCUUUAUAUAAUUUAAGGAGCUCUUGUAGUUUAAUUAUGCUUUUCUACUCUGUAAGUUCUUGUCAGAGUAAACUUAAUUUAAAAUGAGAAAGAACUACAAAAGCUCAAUUGUACAUUCAUGCCCAAUAUAUAUGAACAUGAUAGACACAUCAAUUUAAGGAUUCUAAACUCUUAAAAUCAACUACAAAAGCUUAAUCUCGUAGUUGAUCAAAAUCCCAAUUUUUGAAGCCUCGUAACAUGCAACUAACUCAUCAAAACCUCUUAAAAAUAAAAGCAAUUCAUAUAACUAUGUAUUGGUCCCUAAAUUCAAGUAGAAAGAACUAAAAGUUAAUUAUCAAAAAUCUCAUUUUGGGCUCUUAGGGUCCCAACCCUAAAAUCACAAGAAAAUUUCGUAAUAGGGCAAAAACCCUCAAUUUAGGACUUCAAUAUUUGAAUAUAGUGUCAUAAAAUCUUCAAAAACUAUAACCAAUCCAUAAAGGAUAGCUUGGGACCUUCAAAGAGAAUAGAAAAAUAUGCAUGCAACUCAAAAUAUUCAUUCUUUGAUACUCACAAAGCACCAAACCGAAAAUUUACUUUGUUCUCUAGCUAGAGUUUCAACUUGAAUAUGGGUUUCCUUCUCCAAAGGUUCUGCUCCUAAAUCCCUUCAAUUUGAAGGAAAAAUCCUUCAUCUCAUUACCAAGUAGAAGAGAGGAGAAAUAGGGUAUUGAGAGAAAGGGGAAAAUGGAAGAAAAGAAGAAGGGAAUGGGGAUAGAAGAGUUUUUCUCUUCUUCCAUUCAAACCAGCCCACUUAAGGGCGUUUCUAUAAUUUUACUCAAUAUUUUCUUGGGAAAAAUUAUGGUUGGACCAAUAGUUAACGAGCUAAAUUGAUAAGCUAUAAUUUUAAUUAGUAAUUUUACCAAACUACCCAUAACAGUUGGUGAAAUCCUGAACAAGCUCGCAGCUCAGGGCUGUACCGACGACUAUUAGAAAAAUUGCAAUAACUCUUUCGUCCGAUAUCCGUUUAAGGUGAUUCAGGUUACGUUAGAAAGAUAACUCGACGAUCUUUCCAACAAGACCAAUUUCGCCUGAAUCGGAUGUCGAUAACCUGGUUAAAAGUUUUCCCAAAGUGGCUGGUGGUGCAAUAACAGAUUAGACUCAACUGUUUUGAAAUUUUCAUCCUCAAAUAAUUCGUUUCGAAAUUUUCGUCCUCAAAUAACAUUUGUAAUUAAGCUUUUAAUUGUUGCAUAAAGAGUAGUCUGAUAAUUAAGCAAUGGAUAUUUAGAAAAAGAAAAAAAAAACUCAAAACAAUAAACCUAAAACAGAAUCAAAUUAUACAAUUAGAAUGCUUAAUUAGUUCAAUGCAUACCAUAUAUCAUAGUUCAAUGAACACCCUGUUUCAUAGAUUUCAACAAUUUUCUCGAUUAAACUUGCGUGUCGGAUCAAAGAUAAGACGAAAGUUGCCCAUUCCAAACAGAUUUGAGUCUAAUAUUGAAAUUCUUGGACUGAUUCGGCGAGAUAAAUGCGAUAUUGCGAAGUUAUCAUAUCCAAUCACACAAAUGCUGCAACAAAUCAUCAAAACAAGAAACGUGUAAGGAGAUUUAGCGAUUAGGGCAUACAUGCAAUCCGGAGAUCGUAUCCCAGCAGGAUAGGGGCUUGAUCCCCUCAUCGUUGUAGAGGUUUUGGCAGAGCGAGAGCUUCUUCAAGUGAGAGAGAAGCGCGACGCGGGGAUCGAGCUUGGAUAGGCGAUUGGCCGUGAGGUCCAACUCCUCGAUGUUCUCGGGGAUCUCGACCUCUCCGAGAUCGUGGAGUUGGUAGCUCAUGAGAUCAAGGCACCGCACCUCCUCCUCCUCGACCUCCUCCUCCAUUGGCUCUUCGUCUCUAGCAGCUCGAGCUCGAGCUCGUGGUGAAAAAAAGAAAAAGAGAGAGAGAGAGAGAGAGAGAGAGAGAGAGAGAGAGAGAGAGAGGUGAACAUAAAGAGCUCAGAGAUGGAGAUCGAGGGGAGAGAGAGAUAGAGAGAGAGGUUAUUUGAAAUAUAGGGAGAGCUAAUAUGAAAAGUGUUUAUUGCCCAAGGUUGGCCCAUGGCCCAAUUGAUGGAAAAAGUUAAUAAAAUAUAGUCCCAUUGGUCCAAUAUUAUUUAUAAAUUUGAGAACUAUCAUCAUAUAUACCAGCGGUUUAGUAACUGCUACAAUAAAAAUAAAAAACGUUGGUAUAAUAUACUUUUAGCGGUAGUUAGCCUAAUUGUUGGUAAAAAAAUUGUUGGAAGAAGCUCUAUUUAUUGUAGUGAGAGACUGGUCCCCCCAGUGAGCAGUGUUGCGGCGGCCUUGGGGCAACCGGUUCCUGACGGGCGAGACCGGUCCCCGAGCGCGUCCACGCGGGGAGAGACCGGUCCCGAGCGGGGAGAGACCGGUUCCCGAACGUCGGGUUUUCGAGGCAGGCUGAGAGACCGGUCCCGUGCAGGGAGAGACCGGUCCCUCUGGGCGAAAAUUGCCCAGACCGGACUGAUGCAAUAUUGGAUUUUUGAGGGCCCUCUUUGGAUUUUGUUACACUAGAGGGCAUAUAUGGCUACUUCUUCCUCUCUUCUCCCUCAUUCCACCAUUCCCUUUGCUCCUAGAGAGAGAAGAAAAAGAAGGAGAGGAAGAAGAAAAAGGAGAGAGCUUGUUGGACGCUUGGAACUUCACCCACACUCUCUCUUCUUCCUUUUGGUGGCUUGGAGCUUGGAUUUGGAACAUUGUUGAGGAAAGAUCUUGGAACCUAGAGGGUUUUGAACCUUGAUUAAAGCUUCUAAGAGGUAGGUAACUUGUUCUUUCCCCAAGAUUUCAUAAUUUGAAGGGUUUUAGUAGAUGGAACCCUAGAAUGGGAAUUUAGGGUUGAUUUUAGGGCUUUUUGAUUUAGGGCUUUUGAGGCUAAAUUUCUUGGAUUAGAACCCUCCUUUGGGUUAGAUUGGAAGGAUCCUAACCUUCUUUCGGAGCUUGAGAAAGAUUUUCUACUCCCUAGGUGAGUUUUUGCCCUAUUCUUGUGAUUGUUAAUGUUUGAGCCUAGAGUUGUUCGUAACGCUUGUGUAUCUCUUCGCUCAUUACUUUUAGGGUAUUUUGAGACUCGUGGACAACUCCGUUCGGCGGAUCGGAGGACACUGCGACGGUUCGGUGGGUUUGACCUAGCCUGGCAUAUGAGAAAUCCUCAUAUCUCAUGUUUUAUGCUCGUAGAGUAAAAAUUCAUGCAUUACCAUGAUAAACAUAUUUAUUGUGAAUUUUAGGAUGCGUAACAUGCCUAUAUUAUGUAUAAGAAGUUUCGGGCCCCUAUAUAGCAGAGGGCUACCUUGUGGGACUUGUACAUGAUUGGCAUCCUAUUGAGACUUGGAAUCAUAUUUCUUAUUGUGAAAAGGAGCAUUACCUUCAUGCAUUUUAAACUAUUUCUACUUGAGACUUAAAGGAUUUUAGUAAGCCAUAAAGAGGCAUAUGACAAGAUUGACAUGUGAGAUCGUGAGCUAAUGUCAUAAAGCGGCAUUGAGCUCGGGUUGUUUGUGAACCUAAUGGAUAGGGCCAUUGAGAGAAUUGGAACAUGUUGUGCAUCGAAAUGUCUAAGUGUCAUAAAGGGGCACUAGACCUAGUGAGAGUUGGAACUUCACCUUGAGACAUAGAACUAGAUCGUUGGAUGCUAGUGGCUAUUACCAUGCUAGAGACAUGAUGAUUGGAUACUUGAGACGAUGAUUUCACUUGCUUGCCAUUUGUGCUCAUUCGCACAUGCUUGUAAGGGUCGCUCCCUACAAGCCGGCACUCCGGAGUUGGCCUACGCGACUUAUGUUUGGGCGUGCGGUAUCGAGAAACCUAUGGGGUCGGGAGGGAUAGACUCAUUCCUAGAGUGGAAAUGCUCGAGCUACCACCGACACUUAGGUGGCACAAGCUGGACUACAAUAUGUAGGUCCUAAAAUACGUUGGAAAUAAUGACAUUGAACCGAAAAUUGACUAUCACUACUAGAUAGACUUAGUAGUUGGAUUACCUUUACAUGCUUAUAGCAUAGCGUUGGGACUUGUAGUAUACAUGAUAAUCUCAUACAUUGCAUCAUAGUAUACUUGUUAUCAUGAUAAAGCAUAUUCAUCAUACAUUGGCAUAAUGGACCAUGAUACCUACUUGUUCGUUAUGUUUAGACAUAUUAGUCAUGCUUGGACUUGCUUCAUUGGGAUAAAGUAUAUGUACACACUUUCAACAUCAUGUUUAUUUGUGAUAUAGUAGCUUAGCAUCUAAUUAUGCUUUCAUAAUGCAAUUAUUUCAUUACUAUUGCCUUGUUGACUUACCUUUUCUUUUGGGGCCUAGUGGUGCAUUGAGCUGAGGUCAGUAAUUGCCCACUGGGAACUAUAAAUUAUAGUUCUCGCGCCCUCUGCUUUAUGUUUUCUUUCAGAGCCUUCCACGCCGGGAGAGGCUAGGGACCGUGGGAAGGG
rnacentral:lncRNA from 1 species